rnacentral:lncRNA from 1 species
UUUUUUUUUGUGAAAUUUGAGAAGAGAAGAGUCAAAACUCUACGUCAGGAUGCCUUACCAGAGCGAUGAAGGGACUGAGGAGUAAAAAGAAUUCCUAACUCUCUGAUAUAUAUAAUCCUAAAUGACUCAAAACAUUUUUCUAGACUCAACAACGUCAGCUAAUUCGAUCAAGCAGGGGGGGCUCCUAAGGUCGGGGAAGGCUCUGAUUACCAACUUGUAACGCCCUCGAUGCGGCUAUAUCUCCCACGUGUCGAAGCAUGACUUAGAGGCAUAACCACAUUGAAAGCAAUGUUGCAAGUGAGGUAAUCUUCACACAACCCAUGUAAUACAUAAGGGAAAGAGAUACAUAGUUGGCUUACAAUCGCCACUUCACACAAUUACAUGAAUAAAGCAUUACAACAUCCGAAACAAUCAAGGUCCGACUACGGAACCAAAAUAAAAGAAGAACCCCAAAUGCGACAAGGUCCCCGAUCGACCCCAACUGGGCUCCACUACUGAUCAACUAGAACGAAACAACACAAAGGACAAGAUCUUCAUCGAGCUCCUCCUGAGCUUGGUUGCAUCAUCUGCACGGACUCAUCUGCACCUGCAAGCUAGUUUUGGAAGUAUCUGUGAGCCACGGGGACUCAGCAAUCUCGCACCCUCGCGAUCAAGACUAUUUAAGCUUAUGGGUAAGGUAAAGGUAUGAUGUGGAGCUACAGCAAGUGACUAGCAUAUAUGGUGGCUAACAAACGCAAAUGAGAGCGAGAAGAGAAGGAAAAAGCACGGUCGAACAACUAUGAUCAAGAAGUGAUCCUAGAACAACCUACGUCAAGCAUAACUCCAACACCAUGUUCACUUCCCGAACUCCACCGAGAAGAGACCAUCACGACUACACACGCAGUUGAUGUAUUUUAAUCUAGGUCAACUUCAGGUUUUCUACAACCGGACGUUAACAAAUUCCCAUCUGCCCAUAACCGUGGGCACGCCUUUCGAAAGUUCAAAUCCCUGCAGGGGAGUCCCAACUUAGCCCAUGACAAGCUCUCACGGUCAACGAAGGAUAUUCCUUCUAGCGGGAAGACCCGAUCAGACUCAGAAUCCCGGUUACAAGACAUUUCGACAGGUAAAACAAGACCAGCAAAGCCGCCCGAUGCACCGACAAAUCCCGAUAGGAGCUGCACAUAUCUCAUUCUCAGGGCACACCGGAUAGGUCAAGCUACGAGUAAAACCAACCCUCGAGUUGCCCCGAGGUGGCCCCGCAGGCUGCCCGUUUUGGACCAACACUCAGAGGAGCACUGGCCCGGGGGGUUUAAAAUAAAGAUGACCCUUGAGUCCGCGAAACCCAAGGGAAAAGAGGCUACGUGGUGAAUGGUAAAACCAAUGUUGGGCAUUGCUGGAGGAGUUUUAUUCAAGGCGAACUGUCAAGGGGUUCCCAUUAUCACCCAACCGCGUAAGGAACGCAAAAUCCGGGAACAUAACACCGAUAUGACGGAAACUAGGGGGGCAAGAGUGGAACAAAACACCAAGCAUAAGGCCGAGCCUUCCACCCUUUACCAAGUAUAUAGAUGCAUUAAUUAAAUAAGAUAUAUUGUGAUAUCCCAACAAGUAAACAUGUUCCAACAAGGAACAACAUCUCCAUGUUCCAACAAGGAACAAAACUUCAAUCUUCACCUGCAACUAACAACGCUAUAAGAGGGGCUGAGCAGAGCGGUAACAUAGCCAAACAACGGUUUGCUAGGACAAGGUGGGUUAGAGGCUUGGCUCAACAAUAUGGGAGGCAUGAUAAGCAAGUGGUAGGUAUCGCAGCAUAGGCAUAGCAAAAGAGCGAGCAUCUAGCAAGCAAAGAUAGAAGUGAUUUCGAGGGUAUGGUCAUCUUGCCUGAAAUCCCGCAAGGAAGAAAAACGAGUCCAUGAAGAAGGCAAACGGACGAAAUCGAACGGUUCCUCACAAACGCGACAUUACCGGAUUACCGAGAAGAAGCAACACCAGAAAGAAGCAAACCACAUAGUAAACAACCAUCACAUAAACAUGGCAUGAUGCACAAUCAAGUAUGAUGCAUGUCCGGUUUAAUGAAGCAUGGCAUGGCAAAGUGCACAAACAAUCCUACAAAUUAAGUGGAGCUCAAUAUGCAACUCCGCUGCAUAUUGACGAAACACCACAUUCAAGUUAUUUAGUUCUCUCUCGUUUAUGUACCCAACAAGAUUAAAUGUUGAUUAACAUGGGAAGGGGUGAAGCCAAACAAAACUACCUAUCUAGGCAAGUUUAAAUGAGGCCGGAAACAACAAACAACAAUUCCGGUAAAUCCCCAUAUGCAUAUUUUAGGUUUGGUACUGUUCUACCCUAAACACAAUUUUAGAGUUGUUAAACAUGCAAAGUGAUGCCACCAUGUUAAACUAGGCAAAAUUCUACCCCAUUUACAUAUAAAGUUUAUUAAAUUUGGAGCUACGGUUAAAUAGUUAUGAAAUAAAUCAUUUUAGCAUGGCAUAGGAGCAAAUUUAGCCAAACGGCAUUUUAAACAUUUUAAACAUAGAUGAAAGUUGCAUAUUAUGAAACUAGACACAAUUUUAAGCAUUUUCCAUAUAUAAGUUAUUUACAUGUGAUGUACGGUUUGAGAGUUACAAUAUGCAUGGAGCUUAGGGGUCAUUCGGUAAAACUGCAGUUUUCUGAACAAUUAGGAAAAUCGCAGCGCACAGCAAAAAAACAUAUAUGGACCGAAUCUGAGCUAUCGGGCCAAACAGGAUCAGGCUGGAGGAGUUUCUCACAUCGGGCCAAGGCCUGGCUGGAAGAAGAGGAGGAGAAGGGCCGGCCCAGGGGACGGAGUUGACCGGUCCACGCGCGCUCGGACGAGGUCAACACGGGCGAGCGAGGCAGAGGCUCGAGCAGGCGACCACCUGCUCGAUGCAGAUGAUGCAGAGGCCGCGGCGGCGCGCACAGGAGGUCGGGGAUGGACGGGUUCAUGGCGGAGGCGGCGAGAUCCAGCGGUCCUCGGCCGGAUCUGGCGCGGAACGACGGGGAGGACCUGUGUGGGAGCUCCAUGAGGGAAGUGGAAACUGCUAUUACUUGAAUAAAAAAGGGAGAGAGAGAUUCAGGGAGGGAACGGGGAAGGAGAAGGACGAGAACGAAGCAGAGGGACGCGACGGUCCUGCUGGUCUGGUGCUGCUCCAGUCUGACAGAGCUUCACGGCAGCGACGCGAAAGCAGAGGUCUCCAGCGCGGGAGGCUAGCGAGUCCAGCAGCGGCUUGGUGGUCUCCCGGUGAACUUGGUCGCAGGGGCAUCCGGGUCCGAGUCCAGCAGCAGGGUCGAGGACGGGGCGCACGAGGGGAAGCUUCGAAGAAGGAGGAGCUCGGGCAGCGACUUGCGACCGGGCGCGCGAGCUCGAAGCAAAGGCUGCUCGGGGCCGCGCUGCUGCUGCGGUGAGGGAGGAGCACGGCGUUGGGACCUCCGAUGACUGCUGCUGAUGUUUGAGUGGCCGGCCACCGGCGAGGCAGAGGCACGCGAGGCCGUGGCCUCGAUCCAUCCUGGAUCGGGCGUCGGCUGGCUGCGGGGAAGACUGAGGAAAGAGGAGGUGGGGAUGUGGAUGAGGCUGGUGAUGGGAGAUGCAGGUGGAUGGACAGAUCGAUUGAAAACAGAGGGGAUUGGCCGGCGUUGAAAGCAAGGAGAGUGGCGGCGGAUGGGAUCGAUGGAAGGGACAAACUGCCUAGGAUCUAGGGUUGGUCUAGGUUUAUAUAGUGAGUGGGUUAGACUAGGGGCUAAAUCGUCCCUCCGAUCGCAAUCGGACAAUCAUGAAUAAAUAGGUUAGGGUGUCCAAAUAAGAAAACGGUGAUAUUUUGUAGAUGUUUGGGGAUGUUCCGGAUCCAACGGUGACGACUGUCCGGGUCGGGUCCGGAACCGAUUUCGGACGCGCGCGGGAGGAGGGCUGCAGGCUGACGGGAGAGGUUAGGUUGGGCUGGUGGUAGGUAGUGGACUGUGCAGAAGGCCUCAGGCUGAGCAAAGGGAAGAUAGAAGGCCCGGCGACUAUUUCCGAAGACCGAAAACGCCCGACGUUUGACCGGCUAUAAUGCCGCUAUAGUUUAACGGUUGGGCAAUCAAAUGAGCUCCGAAUGCGAUGAAACUUGGCAGGCGAUCUACUAACAACAUAACAACACCACAUGCCAACUUUCAACCCAUUCCGAGAACAUUUUCCGGCCACUUAUAAAAUACUAUUUCGGACAUGCCGUGGGCGCGUGCAAGUGUGUCUGGGCUCAGAACGGACAACGGAGAGAACGGGGAGGCCGGGACGGAUGCAAGUUUUGAAAACAUGAUGAUGCAAUGCGGAUGAUGACAUGGCAAGAUGCAGCACAGAAGCAAAAGACAAGGCAACAACAGCGAAUAACUAGAGGACACCUGGCACAACGGUCUCGGGGCGUCACAAGGAGCUUCUGUUGUGUCUCUCUGGAGAGGAGCGACCUCUCUUAUAUAGGCACAGGAGAAGGACGCGAAGAGGCUGCGGCAGGAGGUGAAGCAAUGAAGGGAGACGAAGCGAACAGGCAGCGGCCGAAGAGGCGCGCCGUUCGAAUUCUGUGUCCACUAGAGAAAACGUUUCAACUCCCACGUGACCUUUCGUAUACCCGUCGUGCAUGGCAAAAAUUUAGAUAUCGGCUCGGCUCAUUCCCGCGGCGCGUCGUGACGAGGCGAGGCGUGGCGUGGCGAGGCGGGCGGCGGAGGAGGAGCGCGCGUGGAUAUCCCUCUUGUUCUCAUGCUCGUACAAGUGGGGAAAGAACUUCCCUUAUAAGGAGGUCCAACUCCCACUAAACUAGCAAUGUGGGACUAAACUUUAGUAGUAUCCCUUGCCUUGCACAAAUGGGCUAAGUGGGCCUCUAGGAUUUAUUAGGAAUUUCUGAAAUAGUUAUUGGGCUGCCCAAAAUAGACUAAAUUCCAGCAAUCCCCCACCAGAUCCCAGAGGCACACAGAAAUUUGCCUUUGGUUCCAGAACACUGUUUUAUAUACCGGUACUGCAGUGGAGACUGUUAAGUUGAAUUUCCACCUAGAACUCUAUGCUACACUAGUAAGCAACCUGAACAGUGGACUAGGCCUUGAACUGCAAGUUUUCUGCGAAUCUAGCUUCACAUAAAGCCUUGACCGAUACGUGGCUACCGUGGAUCUUCCUCGUGGGUGGAGCUUAUGCGUCAUACUCCGUGACCUUUCAUGAGUUUACUAGAGAGAACCCUACUCUCAUAGAUUGCAACGUUUGACAAUCAGACUCAUAUAGGUGUGUUCUUCAAAAGAUGUUCUGCAGGAUAACAUCUCUGCUUAAAUAAGCCACUUAGAACACAUUAAGAUAUACAUCAACCUGCCAUGCAGAUUAGGAGAGUAUUGCAUCUUCAUGGAGUGGUAUUGUGAAUAGUAAGGAUACUCUCCUCUCAGUUGACCAACAGCUUGUCUUCCACAUCUAAUUCACGGGAUCUCCGAUCAUAAAGAAUAGGUUACCACUGUGAACAACUCAUAUUGUGGGUCUCAUACCCAUCUCCCUCGAUGCAUUAUCUAUCACAUUACGUGAUAGACCCUUGGUAAAAGGAUCUGCCAGAUUUUUAGAUGUUUGGAUAUAAUCCAACGCAAUAACUCCAGAGUUUUUCAUUUUCCUGACAGACUUUAACCUUCUCUGAACGUGUCUUGAUGACUUCAUGUUAUCCUUUGAGCUGCUCACUUUCGUGAUCACAGUUUGAUUGUCGCAGUUCAUAAGGACACCCGGUACAGGUUUCUCAACAACCGGCAAGUCAUUCAAGAGCCGGCGAAGCCAAUCUGCUUCAACCGUAGCUGUAUCUAGUGCUGUGAGUUCUGCUUCCAUUGUUGACCUCGUUAAGAUGGUCUGCUUGCAAGACUUCCAAGAAACAGCGCCACCUCCAUGAGUGAAUACAUAACCGCUCGUGGCCUUUAUCUCAUCAGCAUCUGAGAUCCAGUUUGAGUCACUAUACCCUUCAAGCACCUUUGGAUGCUUGGUGUAGUGAAUUCCAUAAUUUGCAGUGCCUUUCAAAUAACGCAAAACUCUUUCUAGAGCUUUCCAAUGCACAUCUCCUGGUUUUGAAACAAACCGUCUCAGUUUGCUAACAGCAAAAGAGAUGUCAGGUCUUGUAGCACUGGCUAAGUACAUAAGCGAGACAAUAAUAUGAGAAUACUUCAAUUGGUCUUUAGCAAUUCUUUGAUUCUUUCGAAGCAACACACUAGCAUCAUAUGGUGUUGGAGAGGGCUUGCAGUCACUAUAGCCAAAGCGACUCAAGAUCUUUUCCACAUAGUGAGAUUGAAGCAAUGUAAUCCCACCAUCAUCGUCUCUCAACAACUUGAUGUUCAGAAUGACAUCAGCCACUCCUAAAUCCUUCAUCUCAAAACAACAAGAUAGGAAAUCCUUGACCUCCUUAAUAACAUUCAGAUUGGUUCCCAAAAUCAGUAUGUCAUCAACUUACAAGCACAGGAUAACUCCCUCGCCCCCACCAUGGCGAUAGUACACACAUUUGUCAACUUCGUUCACAACAAAGCCUGCAGCUGUUAAAGUUCUUUCAAACUUCUCAUGCCACUGUUUGGGUGCUUGCUUAAGUCCGUACAAAGACUUCAGCAACUUGCACACUUUCCCUUCCUGACCAUCUAGUACAAACCCAUCUGGUUGUUCCAUAUAAAUUUCCUCGUCCAUCUCUCCAUUUAGGAAAGCAGUCUUAACAUCCAUUUGAUGAACGAGAAGACCAUGCGAGGCAGCUAGUGAAAGUAGAACUCGAAUAGUGGUCAGUCGAGCCACAGGUGAGUAAGUAUCAAAGAAGUCUUCACCUUCCUUUUGGGUAUAACCCUUAGCCACGAGCUGAGCCUUGUACUUUUCAAUAGUACCAUCAGGCCUAAGCUUCUUAUUGAAUACCCAUUUGCAUCCUAUAGGUUUGCACCCAUAAGGGCGAUCAGUUAUCUCCCAAGUUUCAUUCGCCAAGAUGGAAUCCAUCUCUCUAUGAACCACUUCCUUCCAGUAGUCAGCAUCUUCAGAUGCAUAGGCCUCUGAAAUAGAACUAGGAGUGUCAUCUAUGAGGUACACAAGAAAAUCAUCACCAAAGGACUUUGCAGUCCUCUGUCUCUUUCUCCUAAUAGGAACUUCAUUGUUCUCCUCCACAGGACUUUCAAAGUGCUCCAUCGAAAUUGUAGGUUCGGUAAUUGUAACUGGUUCCUGAUUCGAUGAACUAGGCAUCUCCUGAUUAGAUGAGGUAGCCAUAUCCUUCAUGGGAAAGAUAUCUCCAAAGAAAGUCGCAUCAUUCGACUCCAUGAUCGUAUCGACAUGCAUGUCAGGUACCUCAGAUUUUACAACCAAGAAUCUAUAGCCAAUGCUAUGAAAAGCAUAUCCCAGGAAAACACAAUCCACAGUCUUUGGUCCAAGCUUCCGCUUCUUUGAAAUUGGAGCAUUGACUUUCGCCAAACAACCCCAUGUUCGCAGAUAAGAGAGUUUUAACCUUUUCUUCUCCCAUUCCUCGAAUGUAGUUAUCUCUUUGUUCUUUGUGGGGACUCGGUUCAGGACAUGACAUGCUGUCAAUAUCGCCUCCCCCCACCAUGCCUUGGAGAGACCCGAUGUGUCUAACAUGGCGUUAACCAAAUCAGUUAGAGUACGGUUCUUUCUUUCGUCCACCCCAUUUGACUGAGGUGAGUAGGGAGGCGUCCCCUCAUGGAUUAUACCAUGUUCCGCACAAAAAAACAUCAAACUCAUUGGAAAAAUACUCUCCACCACGGUCGGACCUAAGCCUCUUGAUUUUCCGAUCAAGUUGGUUUUUCACUUCAGCUUUAUAGAUCUUGAAAAAGUUCAAAGCCUCAUCCUUAGAUUUCAGAAGAUACACACGGCAGUAUCUAGUGGAGUCAUCAAUUAACGUCAUGAAAUAUUUCUUUCCACCUUUUGUCAACACACCAUUCAUUUCACAUAGAUCUAAAUGUAUGAGCUCUAGUGGUGCAAGAUUUCUUAUUUCCGCAGUCGUGUGAGACUUACGAGGUUGCUUAGCUUGCACACACACUUGACACUUAAAUCCAUUGACGGUGGUGAAAUUAGGGAUUAAGUUCAACUUCGCUAGUCGCGACAUGCAACCAAAGUUGACAUGACAAAGACGUGAAUGCCACACAUUGGAUUCACUAUUGUUGCAAAUAUGAUUAACAACUUUAUUGCAAACUCUAAUAAGGAUAAACGAAACAAGCCUCCUGACUCAUAGCCUUUACCAACAAAGGUUCCAUACUUGGAUAUUACAAAUUUACUCGACUCAAAGACAAGUUUGUAGCCAUCUCUAUACAGAAGAGAUCCGCUAACAAGAUUUUUAUUGACGGAGGGGACAUAAUGCACGUUCUUCAGCCGCACGAUCUUCCCCGAAGUAAACUUCAGAUCGACCGUGCCAACACCACGAACAGAAGCACUUGAACCGUUGCCCAUCAGCAUGGUUGAAGUCCCUGCGGUCUGAUAAGACGAAAACAUGGAAAUAUCACCGCAUACAUGCACAUUAGCACCCGUGUCAAUCAACCAGUCAGGAGAAUGACAUACUGAAAGAAUAGUGGGAAAUAUACCAUACCCAGCAUCCUUCAUGUCAGUGUCUCCAAUGACAACAUUAGCGGUCUUGCCGCCUUUCCCAGGAUGACGCUUGUCAUAGCGAUUAGGGCAACUAGGAGCCCAAUGAUCAGGAUCCCCACACACAUGACAAGCACCUUUCUUCUUGCCAUUCUUCUUCUUGAAGUUCGUGUGUUGCACAGUCUUGUUCUUCCCAUCAAACUUUGCUUUUUCAUCAAACUUGCCCUUGUUCUUGAACUUGUGGGGCUGGAAGUUCUGCUUCUGUAGCACAUUGGCUAGAUCCUCCCUCAACACCUCGAGCACGUGUGUCCUUUGCUCUCGCCUUUUCUUCCACAUCAAGAGUGCCAAUGAGAUCCGGGACGGAAAACUCCUGCCUCUUAUGCUUCAGCAAGGUAGCAAAGUUCCUCCAUGAAGGGGGAAGCUUAGUGAUGAUACCUCCGGCAACAAACUUGUCUGGUAGCAUACAACUGAAGUGCUCAAGUUCUCUAGCAAAUGACUGUAUCUCAUGAGCUUGCUCAACCACGGAGCGCUCUUCAGUCAUCCUGUAAUCAUAGAAUUGCUCCAUGAUGUACAGCUCAGUGCCAGCAUCCGAGACCCCAAACUUGACCUCGAGUGCAUCCCACAUAUCUUUUCCAUUAUCAAUUGACGCAUAAGCAUCAACUAUGUUCUCACCAAGAACACUCAAGAGAGCAGCCUUAAACAGAGUAUCCAUUUUCUGAAAAGCUUGUGCCUGUUGAGCAUCAAGCUCUCCUUCAGGUUUGCCGAGAGUGGCGUCAUAGCAACUCAUGGUUUGAAACCACAAGACUGCUCUCACGCGCCACCUCUUAUAGUGGAUACCCUCAAACAUAGGAGGUCUCAUGGAAGCAGCAAAACCACUUAGGGUAAAUUGCCUAUAAUAAGGUUUUUGGAUUGUUGGAAAUAUGAGCAAUUUACCAAAUGAUUUUAUUAACAGAAAUACUAGAUAAAGCAUGACUAAUAUAGUAGAGAUAAAACAAGUCAUGCAUUCUGACAGAGAGAAGGUAAAUAGCUUCUGCAUAUAUGAACCGUAGCCUAUCAUAUCUAAAGCAGACAGUAUAGCAAGUAGCAUAUAUGAAGUAGAACCUAUCAUGUGUAGGACAAGGACUAGAACAAGGAACUGUGGCAGAACCUUUAACAGGAAAGACAAGAACACGUACGGGACAGCAGCAGUAGAAGCGCUGGACUUGGGGUCGGUGUCCUCGCCUACCAUGUCGACGAGGAGGUCGUGGACGUCGGGGAAGAAGUCGUCGGCGACCGGAUCGUCCGUGAUGAAGCAGCCAGUAGUCGCGCUGAGCGCUCCCCAAAAACCUUAUCACCCUUCUCCCGUACAGGACUCAAAAGGUGCGGUUUCGGAGGCCUACUGUCCCGACCUGCGGUGCACGCCGCAAGACGGGAUGGGGAAGAACGUAGCAGCAGCACAGUGGUCGGAACUUUGUGGCGAGAGGAAGAUGAGCUUCUGUUGUGUCUCUCUGGAGAGGAGCGACCUCUCUUAUAUAGGCACAGGAGAAGGACGCGAAGAGGCUGCGGCAGGAGGUGAAGCAACGAAGGGAGAUGAAGCGAACAGGCAGCGGCCGAAGAGGUGCGCCGUUCGAAUUCAGUGUCCACUACAGAAAACGUUUCAACUCCCACAACCCGCGGCGCGUCGUGACGAGGCGUGGCGAGGCGGGCGGCGGAGGAGGAGCGCGCGUGGAUAUCCCUCUUGUUCUCAUACUCGUAUAAGUGGGGAAAGAACCUCCCUUAUAAGGAGGUCCAACUCCCACUAAACUAGCAAUGUGGGACUAAACUUUAGUAGUAUCCCUUGCCUUGUACAAAUGGGCUAAGUGGGCCUCUAGGAUUUAUUAGGAAUUUCUGAAAUAGUUAUUGGGCUGCCCAAAAUAGACUAAAUUCAGCAAUAUAACCCAAUGAGAUCUUGGUUAUAUGGAAUAUGAAUGUUUGGAUUCAUAAUAUUUAUUUAAUAUAAGUAGAGUGGAAAGUUUCUUUUUCAUGCAUAGUUGCAGGGUUUUUUUUUUACGGAAUGCAUAGUUGCAAGUUGAGGUGUGCUUUUUUCUAUGCAUAGUUGUAUGUUGAGGAGACAUGUUUACAUGUUGAGGGAGAUAUAUGUUGGUCGGUAUCAGCUAUUAACUAAAUAUUAGGUCUCGUUUGAAACGACGAAGAAGUGGAGGAAUUUUUAAGGGUUCCAAUUGGUUGGUUCCAUCGGAUUUGAGCUUAGAUUGCAGUUCAUUGGAAAAUUGCUCAUACAUGUCACCAGCAACUAAUUGAGUGGUCCAACUAAUAAGCUGAGACAAACUUUACUGGAGAAAGGGCGACUGCAAUCUUUAUAUAGGACAUCUGUGCGGGUGAGGUUUGUGCCUCUGUUAUGCUAUGAUUGUGUUCCUGACAGAUAGAUGCAACAAUCGCGAAUGAAAAGAAAUGUAGAAUGCAAAGUAGAUCUGAUUCCAGUGAUGACAGAAAACAAAGAGCUAGCCCUUCUAUAUACACAUACAUGUAGUAUCUAUCAAUUGAAGGCCACUAAUCGUCUAUUUUUAUCUCAAAAAUAUAGAACUCCCGCUGUAAAAAAAUAUUUCUUUACAGAGACCAUUGACGGAAAAGCUAGGCAGGGUACAGGAAAAGGGUUUCCUAGUCCUAAACUAGCCGAUGCCCACUAGCAAGUUUAAGUGAGUGACAAAUUUCGUACUGUCAAACUGGGGUUAACUGUAAAGGAACCAAUGCUAAGCAUCCCUGAUGCACCCAUCAUCCUGCACGCCGAAAGGCUUCAUUCUGCUUGCCGGAGAAUAAAUAUGUGUGACGCUAAUCACCAGAUGUGUAGCAUCUAGUAAUGCAUUCAGGAACCUAAUGCUAGAGUGUCUCUCUUUUCUUUUCUUUUCUUUUCUUUUUUAGCAAGGGAUAAGAGUUUACUUUUGUGAGAGGUUUUGAGAAUAUGUGCAUAUUUUUACUGCAGAUGAAAUAUAUGGAAAUUACACCCGGGCUUGUUACCUUUUAAAUUUCAGGGAUUCUGGGUUGUGUUCCUUGAUUACUAAGCAAACAAAAUAUGGUCCCUACGAAUGAAAGAAUGAAUGAAUCCACCCAAGUGAUGUUUCUCCGAGACCCACAUGAGAGUACAUAUGACCGCGUACCUAGAUCCAAUUGGGCGUGACGCUGCUAUCUAGUCUAGAGGCGCGAGUUUGAGCUGACAGUCAUAUAUCAGCAGCCGGCAGCCACCUAGUUUUGUUGACAUCUGACCCUGUUUGUAUCAGAUUAAGGUGGAUUUACAAACCCCACUGGGCAUUACCGGCCACGUCAGGGCAUGUACAAUGGUUCCAUCUUAGCAGUGCCAUGUAGAAUAAAUAAUAAGGUGGAGAAAAGAAAAACAAAAAAAGGCUUUGCCUUCUUUUAUUUAAAAGAUAAUCUCUUAAAGCAUUUUCAGCCGCGUCCCCAACAGGUCCCUCAGGCAACUUUUUACGCGCCGGCGCCCAAAAAACCCCAAUCGCGCCCCCAAGACGUCGAAAUCUUUCGGCUCGGCCCGUUUUUGGGCCCGGCGAUCGCAGGCCGAACCCGGCGCACUGGGGGCGCUCGGGGGCUUCGACACAAGGGAAAAACAUGCCUGGCCCACACUGUCAGGCGAGAAGUCAAGCCAUUCGUCCAGAUUCGCCUCCCAACCCCCACGCGCUCGGCCGCCACCCUACUGAUCCCGUCGCCGCCCACCGCCCAUCACUACUAGAUAGGCCAUUCCCCGCCGGAAAAGAGAGGAGGUUUCGCCGCGGCAGCCUCUCCACCACCAUCCGGGCGAUUUUUCCGACGUUCCGGCCACGCAGGGCGGUGUACCGGCGGGUGUGCGCCCACCAAGCCCGCAAGGUGUUCGGCGAUUUGCCUGCUCGGCGAUGGACUUGGACGACGAGGAGGCGCUCACCACGCUGCUGGAGGAGGAAGCUGAUGCCGACGUCCAGGAAGAGGAACAUCUCAUGGUCCUCGUCUCCCUCGCCGGCCUGCUCGCGAGCAAUGAAAAGCCGCGACGAGGUGGCUCGGCGCCGGGGCAGAUGAAAGCAAAGAACCGGCAUCGUCUGGAAGGCUACUGCAUGCUCUGCUCCGACUACUUCGCCGACGCUCCACUGCACGGCGACAAAGUAUUUCGGCGCCGUUAUUGGAUGAGCCGAAAGCUUUUUCUCGGGAUUGUGAAUUCCAUUCAAGAGUUCGACAGCUACUUCAAGUGCAAGAAGGAUUGCACCGGCAAACUUGGAUUCACCUCAAUCCAGAAGUGCACGACAGCGACGAGGAUGCUUGCAUACGGAGCUCUCGGUGAUUCACUCGGCGACUAUGGGCCCAUGGCCGAGUCCACGACCAUUGAGUGUUUCUACAAGUUCUGCAGGGCGGUGGUGACAGUGUUUGGACCGCAAUACUUGCGGACACCCAAUGCGGAAAACACUGCUCGGGUCCUAGCACAGAAUGCAGCAAGAGGAUUUCCUGGAAUGCUUAGAAGCAUCGACUGCAUGCAUUGGAAAUGGAAGAACUGUCCAUUUGCUUGGCAGGGGAUGUACAAAGGCGCCAAAGGCGAUUGUAGUGUGGUACUUGAGGCGGUGGCCACACAGGACCUCUGGAUUUGGCACUCCUUCUUUGGUAUGCCAGAAACUCACAAUGACAUCAACAUGCUGCAGUGCUCCCCUGUCUUUGCCAAGCUUGUUGAAGGCCAUUCUCCUCCGGUGAACUUCGAGGUCAAUGGGCGGCACUAUAACAAGGAGUACUACCUAGCUGAUGGCAUCUAUCCGAGAUGGUCUACAUUUGUGGAGACAAUCUCAAACGUUGUGCCAGGAGGCAAGAAGUCUCACUUUGCUAAGGUUCAGGAGGCUUGCAGGAAGGAUGUCGAGCGGGCAUUUGGUGUGUUCCUGUGACACCCUGAUAGUUAAGCUACAGUAAACCUUUGCUAAUCAUGCCAUGUCAUUAUAAUUAAACUUUUCCAAACCUCGCUUGUUUCAAAUUGAGAUCAAAUUUAAAUUCAAAAAAUAAGUCAAAUUAUAAUUUCAUAAAAACAGUGAAUUAAAAAUGUUCAUUGCAUUACAAUUAAUCACUAAGUAAUUUUCAUAUAAGAAGAAAGAUCUUUAGAAGUAAUUAGAUGCUCCUAACCUAUUUAAAACGGGGUUAACAACACCAAAUACGGCCUUUUCAAAAUUAACAAAAGGCUAGACAUUUUCCAGUUGACCCCAAACUUUGUGGACAUCCCCAUAAUAUUGCAGAGUAUUUAUGAGACAAGUCUCAUAUUUAUCAAAACACUUUCUAGUAUUAAUAUAGAGUAAAAAACGGAAAGAAAAAUAUAAAACAGGAGAAAGGAAAAAUGAAUAAAAACUAAAACUUAAACAAAGAAAAAACACUAGACCCCCCAAGUGGGCCGACUGGCCCAGUUGGCCGAAACCGGCCUAGCUGGCCGGCCCAGCCGCCCACCCCGAGCGCCCUAACCCUAGCGUGCCGCUCUACUCCUCUCGCACCACCCCACCCCCCNNNNNNNNNNNNNNNNNNNNNNNNNNNNNNNNNNNNNNNNNNNNNNNNNNNNNNNNNNNNNNNNNNNNNNNNNNNNNNNNNNNNNNNNNNNNNNNNNNNNNNNNNNNNNNNNNNNNNNNNNNNNNNNNNNNNNNNNNNNNNNNNNNNNNNNNNNNNNNNNNNNNNNNNNNNNNNNNNNNNNNNNNNNNNNNNNNNNNNNNNNNNNNNNNNNNNNNNNNNNNNNNNNNNNNNNNNNNNNNNNNNNNNNNNNNNNNNNNNNNNNNNNNNNNNNNNNNNNNNNNNNNNNNNNNNNNNNNNNNNNNNNNNNNNNNNNNNNNNNNNNNNNNNNNNNNNNNNNNNNNNNNNNNNNNNNNNNNNNNNNNNNNNNNNNNNNNNNNNNNNNNNNNNNNNNNNNNNNNNNNNNNNNNNNNNNNNNNNNNNNNNNNNNNNNNNNNNNNNNNNNNNNNNNNNNNNNNNNNNNNNNNNNNNNCCACGCGCGCCCACCGUCGCCCCGCACACGCUGGCCCUUAUGCCCGCGCGCGCCCAGCACGCGCCUCCCCCUUUGCGCCCGUGCGUGCCCAGCACGCGCCUCUCCCUUUGUGCCCGCCGCCUACGCCGGCUCUUGCCGUUGCUAGCGCCGCUCGCCGUCCGCCUCUGCUAGUCCAUGCGGCCGUCACCGCGCCUGCCACCGCGCCUGCCCCCUGCAGCGCCAGCCGGUCGCGCUACAUCGCGCGUGCGCCCGUUCGUGCUCGUGCCAUGCUCCUCUGCCUGCGCGCUCGGUUGUUGCGUGCUGCCAUUGCUGCUGCAGAGCCCACCCGCUCGUCCCUCCGUUGCCGGCGCGGAAAUUCCGGCAAGAUCCCGUGCCAUCGCCGCCGUACCUGUGGACGCCGGCGCGUAGCGCUUCGAACCGGCCUCUGUGCCGCUGGCUAGCAGGCCCUGGUCAUUAUAUUAGGGCGCUAACCCACUAAUUACCACUAACCUGAACACUUAGUGGCACUAACAGAUGGGCCUAGGGUCUUUAAACGCUAACAAAAGGAAUACACUACGGUCACUGACAGUGGGGCCCCACCCCCUGAGAACGUUAACAUAAUAAUAAUAAUAAUAAUGAAGAUUUAAAAUAAAAAUAAUAAUUAAAUUAAUUAAUUAGUCAAAUGAAUUAAUUAACUUAAUUAAUCAUGUUAAUUAAACUGAGACAAUGACAAACGGGCCCCGUGUGCCAGGGUUGACCUAGUCAACCUGUGGACCUGCUGACAUCAUGAUGAUGUCACGCAAACACAAUAAUUGCAUUUUCUAAUUAAUUUAAAUCUUUUAAUUCCAAAAUUGAUUUUAAUCCUUUUAAAAUUAAUAUAAAAUAAACCAUAGCUCAGAUGGAAAAACUUUGUACAUGAAAGUUGCUCAAAAUGACGAGACGAACCCGGAUACGCAGCCCGUUCGUCCGCUACGCAUCCCUAGCAUAGCAAACACGCAACUUUCCCCCUUCGGUUCAUCUGUCCGAAAACGCAAAACACCGGGAAUACUUUCCGGAUGUUUUCCCCCUUCACCGGUACCACCUCGUACCGCGUUAGGGCACACCUAGCAUCACGCUUUGUCAUGUCAUGCAUCGUCAUGCAUUUGUUUGCAUUAUAUUUAUUGUUUCUUCCCCCUCUUCUCUCGCUAGACACCGAGACCGACGCCGCUGCUACCCAGUACGACUACGGUGUUGACGACCCCUCUCUCUUGCCAGAGCAACCAGGCAAGCCCCCCCCCCUUGAUCACCAGAUAUCGCCUACUCUACUCUCUAUACUGCUUGCAUUAGAGUAGUGUAGCAUGUUACUGCUUCCAGUUAAUCCUAUCCUGAUGCAUAGCCUGUCCUUGCUACUACUGUUCUUACCUUUACCUGCAAUCCUAAUGCUUAGUAUAGGAUGCUAGUUUACCAUCAGUGGCCCUACAUUCUUGUCUGUCUUCCAUGCUAUACUAUCGGGUCGUGAUCACUUGGGAGGUGGUCAUGGGUAUAUACUUAUACAUAAUAUAUGAUAGUUGUGGUGAUUAAAGUUGGGUCGGCUCAUAGGAGUACCCGCGAGUGAUUCCGAUGUUGGGGGCUGAAGGGGCAGGUGGCUCCAUCCCGGUAGAGGUGGGCCUGAGUUCCCGCAGGCCCCCGACUGUUACUUUGUGGUGGAGCAACAGGGCAGGUUGAGACCACCUAGGAGAGAGGUGGGCCUGGCCCUGGUCGGCGUCCGUGGUUAUUUCAGAAUAACACGCUUAACGAGAUCUUGGUAUUUGAUCUAAGUCUGGCUACUGGCCUAUACGCACUAACCAUCUACGCGGGGACAGUUAUGGGCACUCGACGUCGUGGUAUCAGCCGAAGCCUUCGUGACGUCAGCGACUGAGCGGCGCGCGCCGGGUUGGACCGCGUAACGCAACUUCCUUUGUAAUGGAGGUUGCUAGGUCUGCUCUCCGGCCACGUACGCAACGUGCAGGUGUGCAAUGGGCGAUGGGCCCAGACCCCUGCGCCAUAGGAUUUAGACCGGCGUGCUGACCUCUCUUUUGUGCCUAGGUAGGGCUGUGACGUGUUGAUCUUCCGAGGCCGGGCAUGACCCAAGAAAGUGUGUCCGGCCAAAUGGGAUCGAGCGUGUUGGGUUAUGUGGUGCACCCCUGUGGGGAAGUUGAUCUAUUCGAAUAGCCGUGUCCCUCGGUAAAAGGACGACCCGGAGUUGUACCUUGACCUUAUGACAACUAGAACCGGAUACUUAAUAAAACACACCCUUCCAAGUGCCAGAUACAACCGGUGAUCGCUCUCUCACAGGGCGACGAGGGGAGGAUCAUCGGUUAGGAUUAUGCUAUGCGAUGUUACUUGGUGAACUUACCAUCUACUCUCUUCUCCCGCUGCAAGAUGGAGGUUACCAGAAGUGUAAUCUUCGAAAGGACUAGCUAUCCCCCUCUUAUUCCGGCAUUCUGCAGUUCAGUCCACAUAUGAUAGCCUUAUUCCAGUUGAUACCAAUGCAUACAUAUGUAGUGUAGCUCCUUGCUUGCGAGUACUUUGGAUGAGUACUCACGGUUGCUUUGCUCCCUCCUUUCUCCCUUUCUAUACCCGAUUGCUGCGACCAGACGUUGGAGUCCAGGAGCCAGACGCCACCGCUGAUGACGACUACUACUACUCGGGAGGUGCCUACUACUACGUGCAGCCCGCUGACGACGACCAGGAGUAGUUUAGGAGGAUCCCAGGAAGGAGGCAUGCGCCUCUUUCGAUCUGUAUCCCAGUUUGUGCUAGCCUUCUUAAGGCAAACUUGUUUAACUUAUGUCUGUACUCAGAUAUUGUUGCUUCCGCUGACUCAUCUAUGAUCGUGCUCUUAUAUUCGAGCCCUCGAGGCCCCUGGCUUGUAAUAUGAUGUUUGUAUGACUUCUUUAUUUGUAGAGUUGUGUUGUGAUAUCUUCCCGUGAGUCCCUGAUCUUGAUCAUACACGUUUGCGUGUAUGAUUAGUGUACGAUUGAAUCGGGGGCGUCACAAGUUGGUAUCAGAGCCGACUGCCUAUAGGAAUCCCCUUCCACACUCCUUGGCCGAAGUUGAGUCUAGACAUUGCAAAACUUUUUACUAACAUGGUUGUGUGCCUUACGGGCCCACGUCGCCAUUUGGGUGGUAUUAGGAUCUUUUACUCCUCGUCUAUACUCUAGGACUCUGAUCUCUCUUCUAUUCGGGUUAAAUGAUUUUACUAAAUCUGACUCUAGGUUCUCGUACUACUUCUCCCGGAGAGCCCCUUAUCACAGAUGAUCGCCUACUGCACCAGAAGAUUUUGAAGAUACUCUUCGAUCGUUCUCGAGACCCUUGUGACCUCUGCCUUUUCAAUUCCCUACCAUCGAUAUAUCCAUAUGGAUAACGACAUACACUUGUUGUUCAUACAAUUACUCUGAGAUUCUCUAGUUGUUACAAGAUGCAUCGAAUUGCUCUCCGAUGUUUAAGAAUCCCUUGUACCACUGCCUUGUAGUUCCUUGCCGCAGAAAUUCCCCUAUGGACAAUUCCUCGGAAUUAUCGAGUAUCCACUCGCUCCCAGUUGUUCUUGUGUUCCACAAAAGACUUUGAAAUACUAUUUGAUCUUUCGAAAAUCCUCAACAGCCUGUUAUUCUUGGAAUUCUUGCGUACUUGCAUUCCAGUUAAUUCCAUUGGUCUAGCAAUUUACUUUAAAGACCUUUGUGAUUGUCAUUCUGAUCCUUUUGAUUCAGCAUGUGUGUGAAUGCACACAAUCAUCAGUUGUUCCCUGGAAUUUAUCCUUCCGACUCAGACGUCAUUUUAAACAUGAGAUGGAUCUCGACCAAUCAAAUUUUUCCAUCGAUUGUACCCCUAAGUCUAUUCAACUUAUCCAUCCCUAAUCAGAGCAUUGCUUCUGAUCCCUUGUCUUGGAAUUGAUAAUUCCUUUGCAUUUGAACUUUGAGUUAGUCAGUUGUUUCUAUAAACUGAUCUUCUUGCAUUCCUUCUUCCUCUGGUUGAGUACCGAUACUCAUAUCAGAUCCCUUAUGGACCACCAGAUCUUUUGUUGGAUUUUGUCCGACAUCGUCCUUCAUUUCAUUAAACAUUGUGAGCCUUUCAUAGGAUACAUAAUGCCUUUGGUAAAUUGUAUCCCCUGCUUUUGUCAACCAUGCUAUGCUCCCGAGCUUGAGUUAUUCGCUCCUGAAGUUUGUGGUAUAUGUUCCUAAGAGGCCAAGAUGGGUUGAACCUAUGCCUUUUCAAAUCUGUGUGAACCCAGAAAACUACUACGGGUCAUACUCUACUGGUGUUAUGUCAGAUAAAAUUUCAAUAUUACCACUAAUGUCAUUUUCAAAAUAUGAGAGGUGAAUGAAAGGUUAUGCGUUGAACAAGUGGGAGUCGACCUUGAACCCUGGGUUCAUGCCCAUGGACACGAUGUAGAUCUUAUCAUUAAAGCUUCUCUUAAAUUAAUUAUUCCCUUGGUAUAAGUUCAUCUUAUACCUGGGUUCUGGCCUUUUGCAAUCAUGGUUUCGACCAUGUUCUCCUCUAAAUACCAUUUCUUGUGCAAGUUUAAGCACUUGUCUUCUGCAGAGCAAUACCCUAGUCCAACCUCUACUUUAAUCUGUUGUCGAGUAUUACCCCCCGGUAUCUCGGGAUUGUCAAGGAACCGCAUAACUUCUUUUGAGCUCUUCAUUAAGUACUACAUUCGCACUGAUUCCAAUUUUUCACGGGCUCUGAUUUAUUAAACUCUCAAAGACACCGAUAACUAAACCGAGUUCGCACUACGGUUCAACAACUCUUAGUAUUCUUCUUUAUGUACGAGUUUGUACUCAACCAUGUCAUUCCUGGCCUGCUCGACUAUAUCAUUAUCGUGCCGAUUUUAACUGUGCUACAUGGUCCUUAUUCCCAAAGCACAACUUUCGAUGAUGAGCUAAGCUUAUGUCGAUUUUCCUCGUCAUAUCAUUUCUCCUUGAACAGCAAGCUUGAUUUCGAGUUUGUGUCAUACUCGUGGUCCCAAUAACCUUUCACUUCAUCAUUCCUUUGACUUGAUGUCAUCGCCGAUCGGUUACAUCUUCACGAAAUCUCUCGACAAUUGUGUCAUGAUCAUCAUCAGCAUUCUGAGGCCAUCCAAGAUAUCUAUUGAAUUCUUGAUGUGAAAUACCAUCCUUUGCCCUUGAUCAUUUGUGUUAUCAUCGACCACUUUAUUGCCUUCCGUUCAACACAAACUUGUCCGUGUUUUGUGUUAUACUUUGAGUUCCUUGCUAUCUAGCAAUUGUUCUUCUUUACCUUAGAGUAUUAUCAUAAUUUAUGUCAAAAUGUUGUGAGAAUUUCACCACCUCUUAAGAAAUUCUUGAUGCAGCGAUACUUCUCACCAUCACCAUUCUUUCUUGGUCCCCGUGUUGAUUCUAACCGGGAUGCGGUGAACGAUACUGUUUGGAUUCUGCCCUUCUAGCAACCCUACUGCUUUGAAAUUAAUGGUCGAUAGUUUCAUUCUAAGCCUAUUGCUUAUUGAAUCAUCAUUCAAACAUUUAUCGUGCUACCUAGUCCAGAUUUUCGGGUGCACUCUUCAACCAAUGUUUAGUUGUUUGUGUUCUCCUAGAUCAUACAUGAUUAUUCCGAUAAAUGAUAUCUCCGUGUUCACAUAAUUGUGGAAAUCCAUCUUUUGAAGAUCUCAAUCAAUUCUCACUGAGUUCAUCAGCUAGCUCCUCAACCUCUCCUUGGGUUAAUGGUGAACUCAUGAUUCGGAACUCGCUUCCAUAGUUCAAUUCCUGAUAAUCUUAUGACGUCAUCUCGACAUUUUGUGUUGCACAUUUCUUCUCAGUCAUCCUGAAUCUGAGUUAUCCUAACACCAAUCAGAUCCGAACCUCGGUCAGAUAUGAUGGUUGAAACAUAUUUCCAAGAGUUAUAACAUUGGUCUUCAUAUGACCCGGUAAGGUGAUGUCAUGCCUAGCACACCUGGCCGGAGGGUCUAUUGUUAUAGUUUCCUUUUUAGCAAGGUUAGCCAUUCUUCCAUGAGGAAAUUGUAAGACUUAUUCUACAAGCCGUUCCUGAUGGAUCCUUUGUGUUUCCAAAGUCUGAUCUUCACCUGAUGACCAUGUCAAUGCUAUCUCGAUGCAUGUCUAUGGUACUCCAAUGUUCAACAAGAACAUUUGAAGCCCAAUGCUAAAUAUUUCCUGCUCAAUUAUCCAAACACCGUUGUAUGGGUAAUGUCAGGAAAUUUCUCUUCCCUUACCUAAAGAGUUUUCUACAUUAUAUCUUGUCAUGGAUAUCAUACUCUACUUGUACUUGGAAAGGAUAUACCCCUUAAAUAUGUGUUUAAACACAUUUUCCUUUCCAUUGUUCUGUUUAAUCUGAUGAUCACAUUUCCUUUACAUUGGUUUGUUUAACCUUUUCGGUGAUCUAUAUGAUCUAAGCAGUAAUAUUCUUUUGCUUAUGUAAACGCCUGGGUGUACAAUCGUGUCGGUAAGACCAUGUUACUAUUGAUGUUGACAUUCCGGUAACCACCGAUGGACGAGAACUUUUCCUAUUGGUCCGCCUCGUUCAACGAGCAGGAAAAUGGUUCUCUUCAUCCCUCGCCCUUGGUACCGAUGUUGUUGCCGACAUAACUGGCAGGUUAUCCUCUGACAUGCCUUGCUUACAUGAUCGUGCGAGACGUCACCCCCCUUCCUACUUUUAACCCACAUGGUGGGCCCAUAACCCACAGUUCCACAGGAGCAAAACCUGACUCUCAUGAACACCCCUGUUUCUAAAGUUAUUCCUCAUGCUUGGCUUCGUAUGGAAGAUCACGAGCCACCUGCCUAGUGAUAUAAUGUGGUAUCAUACGCAUUACUUGUUCUCAUUGCUCUAAACCCCUUUCACCUUCUGAUUAGGCCAUCAAAUGAUUGCCUGCCCAUUGGAAACUUCUCAUGGUACCUUCUUACUUUACUCUCGAUAUGUUCUUAAGUAUCUAUUCGAGAAUUACUUUCUACCAUGUUCCCUGAGUUAUCUGUCGGAUAGUCAACCUUGUAAGGUCCGUUCUUCCGAAAUUACCCCUUCUCCUUUCGUAAGUACGACGAAAUUUCCGAAGAAAGGAUGAUGACUUCAUCAGGAUGACCUGAAGCAGAGGAAUAAAGACAUCGAUGUAAUGGAUCGACCUCUUCGAGAAGAGAAACUAAGACCAGGAAGAUCCGUUAGAAUUUCGUAACCAGAGCUUUCCCCCUUACUCCCCUCUUAAAUCUCGGGACGAGAUUUCUUGUAGUGGAGGAGAUUUAUGACACCCUGAUAGUUAAGCUACAGUAAACCCUUGCUAAUCAUGCCAUGUCAUUAUAAUUAAACUUUUCUAAACCUCACUUGUUUCAAAUUGAGAUCAAAUUUAAAUUCAAAAAACAAGUCAAAUUAUAAUUUCAUAAAAAUAGUGAAUUAAAAUUGUUCAUUGCAUAACAAUUAAUCACUAAGUAAUUUUCAUAUAAGAAGAAAGAUCUUUAGAAGUAAUUAGAUGCUCCUAACCUAUUUAAAACGGGGUUAACAACACCAAAUACGGCCUUUUCAAAAUUAACAAAAGGCUAGACAUUUUCCAGUUGACCCCAAACUUUGUGGACAUCCCCAUAAUAUUGCAGAGUAUUUAUGAGACAAGUCUCAUAUUUAUCAAAACUCUUCCUAGUAUUAAUAUAGAGUAAAAACGGAAAGAAAAAUAUAAAAUAGGAGAAAGGAAAAAUGAAUAAAAACUAAAACUUAAACAAAGAAAAAAACACUAGACCCCCCCCCCAAGUGGGCCGACUGGCCCAGUUGGCCAAAACCGGCCUAGCUGGGCGGCCCAGUCGCCCACCCCGAGCGCCCUAACCCUAGCGCGCCGCUCUACUCCUCUCGCACCACCACCCCACUCAUCUCGCACGACCCCCACUACCCCCACGAACCCCUCUCGCUCCCCCGUCUCCUUCCNNNNNNNNNNNNNNNNNNNNNNNNNNNNNNNNNNNNNNNNNNNNNNNNNNNNNNNNNNNNNNNNNNNNNNNNNNNNNNNNNNNNNNNNNNNNNNNNNNNNNNNNNNNNNNNNNNNNNNNNNNNNNNNNNNNNNNNNNNNNNNNNNNNNNNNNNNNNNNNNNNNNNNNNNNNNNNNNNNNNNNNNNNNNNNNAGGGAGGAGUGGAUCUACAUACCCUUGUAGAUCGCGCGCGGAAGCGUUCAAGAGAACGGGGUUGAUGGAGUCGUACUCGUCGUGAUCCAAAUCACCGAUGAUCCUAGCGCCGAACGGACGGCACCUCCGCGUUCAACACACGUACGGAGCAGCGACGUCUCCUCCUUCUUGAUCCAGCAAGGGGGGAGGAGAGGUUGAUGGAGAUCCAGCAGCACGAUGGCAUGGUGGAAGUAGCGGGAUUCCAACAGGGCUUCGCCAAGCGCUGCGGGAGGAGGGAGAUGUGUCAUGGGAGGGAGAGGGAGGCGCCAGGCCUUAGGUUAGGUUGCCCUCCCUUCCCCCCACUAUAUAUAGGGCCAAGGGAGAGGGGGAGGGCGCAGCCUUGCCCCUUCCUCCAAGGAAGGGUGCGGCCAAGGGGGGGAGGAGUCCAUCCUCCCCAAGGCACCUCGGAGGUGCCUUCCCCCUUUAGGACUCUCCCUUUUUCCUCUACUCUUGGCGCAUGGGCCUCUUGGGGCUGGUGCCCUUGGCCCAUAUAGGCCAAGGCGCACCUCCUACAGCCCAUGUGGCCCCCCGGGGCAGGUAGCCCCACCCGGUGGACCCCCGGGACCCUUCCAGUGGUCCCGGUACAAUACCGGUGACCCCGAAACUUGUCCCGAUGGCCGAAAUAGCACUUCCUAUAUAUAAUUCUUUACCUCCGGACCAUUCCGGAACUCCUCGUGACGUCCGGGAUCUCAUCCGGGACUCCGAACAACUUUCGGGUUACCGCAUACUAAUAUCUCUAUAACCCUAGCGUCACCGAACCUUAAGUGUGUAGACCCUACGGGUUCGGGAGACAUGCAGACAUGACCGAGAUGACUCUCCGGUCAAUAACCAACAGCGGGAUCUGGAUACCCACGUUGGCUCCCACAUGUUCCACGAUGAUCUCAUCGGAUGAACCACGAUGUCAAGGACUUAAUCAAUCCCGUAUACAAUUCCCUUUGUCUAGCGGUACGAUACUUGCCCGAGAUUCGAUCGUCGGUAUCCCGAUACCUUGUUCAAUCUCGUUACCGGCAAGUCUCUUUACUCGUUUCGUAACACAUCAUCCCGUGAUCAACUCCUUGAUCACAUUGUGCACAUUAUGAUGAUGUCCUACCGAGUGGGCCCAGAGAUACCUCUUCGUUUACACGGAGUGACAAAUCCCAGUCUCGAUUCGUGCCAACCCAACAGACACUUUCGGAGAUACCUGUAGUGUACCUUUAUAGCCACCCGGUUAUGUUGUGACGUUUGGCACACCUAAAGCACUCCUACGGUAUCCGGGAGUUGCAUAAUCUCAUGGUCUAAGGAAAUGAUACUUGACAUUAGAAAAGCUUUAGCAUACGAACUACAUGAUCUUGUGCUAGGCUUAGGAUUGGGUCUUUGUCCAUCACAUCAUUCUCCUAAUGAUGUGAUCCCGUUAUCAAUGACAUCCAAUGUCCAUGGUCAGGAAACCGUAACCAUCUAUUGAUCAACGAGCUAGUCAACUAGAGGCUUACUAGGGACAUGGUGUUGUCUAUGUAUCCACACAUGUAUCUGAGUUUCCUAUCAAUACAAUUCUAGCAUGGAUAAUAAACGAUUAUCAUGAACAAGGAAAUAUAAUAAUAACUAAUUUAUUAUUGCCUCUAGGGCAUAUUUCCAACAGUCUCCCACUUGCACUAGAGUCAAUAAUCCAGUUCACAUCGAUAUGUGAUUAACACUCAAGGUCACAUCCCCAUGUGACUAACACCCAAAGAGUUUACUAGAGUCAAUAAUCUAGUUCACAUUACCAUGUGAUUAACACUCGAUGAGUUCUAGGUUUGAACAUGUUAUGCUUGUGAGAGAUGUUAUAGUCAACGGGUCUGAAUCUUUCAGAUCCGUAUGUACUUCGCAAAUCUCUAUGUCGUCUUGUAGAUGCAGCUACUACACUAUAUUUGGAGCUAUUCCAAAUAACUGUUCUACUAUACGAAUCCAUUCUACUACUCAGAAUAAUCUGGAUUAGUGUCAAAGUUUGCAUUGGCGUAACCCUUUACGACGAACUCUUUUACCACCUCCAUAAUCGAGAAAAUUCCUUAGUCCACUAGUUACUAAGGAUAACUUUGACCGAUGUCCUGUGAUCCAUUCUUGGAUCACUCUUGUACCCCUUGACUAACUCAUGGCAAGGCACACUUCAGGUGCGGUACACAGCAUAGCAUACUGUAGAGAGCCUAUGAUAAAAGCAUAGGGGACGACCUUCGUCCUUCCUCUUUCUUCUGCCGUGGUCGAGCUUUAAGUCUUAAAUUCAUACCUUACAACUCAGGCAAGAACUCCUUCUUUGACUGAUCCAUCUUGAACACCUUCAAGAUCAUGUCAAGGUAUGUGCUCAUUUGAAAGUACCAUUAAGCGUUUUGAUCUAUCCUUAUAGAUCUUGAUGCUCAAUGUUCAAGUAGCUUAAUCCAGGCUUUCCAUUGAAAAACACUUUCCAAAUAACCCUAUAUGCUUUCCAGAAAUUCUACGUCAUUUCUGAUCAACAAUAUGUCAACAACAUAUAUUUAUCAGAAAUUCUAUAGUGCUCCCACUCACUUCUUUGGAAAUACAAUUUUCUCAUAAACUUUGUAUAAACCCAAAAUCUUUGAUCAUCAUCAAAGCAUACAUUCCAACUCCGAGAUGCUUACUCCAGUCCCUAGAAGGAUUGCUGGAGCUUUGCAUACUUAUUAGCAUCUUUCAGGAUUGACAAAACCUUCCGGUUGUAUCACAUACAACCUUUCCUCAAGAAAAUCGUCGAGGAAACAAUGUUUUGACAUCCUAUCUGCAAGAUUUCAUAAAUAGUGCAGUAAUUGCUAAUAUAAUUCCAACAAACUCUUAGCAUCGCUACGAGUGAGAAAGUCUCACCGCAGUCAACUCCUUGAACUUGUCGGAAAACAUCUUAACGACAAGUCGAGCUUUCUUAAUGGUGACAUUUACCAUCAUUGUCCGUCUUCCUUUUAAAGUCCAUCUGUACUCAAUAGCCUUACGACCAUCGAGCCGUUCUGCCAAAGUCUACACUUUUUUUUCAUACAUGGAUCCUCUCUCGGAUUUUAUGGCCUCGAGCCAUUUAUCGGAAUCCGGGCCCACCAUCGCUUCUCCAUAGCUCGUAGGUUCAUUGUUGUCUAGAAACAUGACUUCCAAGACAGGAUUACGUACCACUCUGAAGUAGAAUGCAUCCUUGUCAUCCCACGAGGUUUGGUAGUGACUUGAUCUGAAGUUUCAUGAUCACUAUCAUAAGCUUCCACUUCAAUUGGUGUAGGUGCCACAGGAACAACUUCAUGUGCCCUGCCACACACUAGUUGAAGAGAUGGUUCAAUAACCUCAUCAAGUCUCCACCAUCCUCCCACUCAAUUCUUUCGAGAGAAACUUUUCCUCGAGAAAGGACCCGAUUCUAGAAACAAUCCCUUAUUGUUUUCGGAUCUGAGACAGGAGGUAUACCCAACUGUUUUGGGUGUCCUAUGAAGAUGCAUUUAUCCGCUUUGGGUUCGAGCUUAUCAGCCUGAAACUUUUUCACAUAAGCGUCGCAGCCCCAAACUUUUUCACAUAAGCGUCGCAGCCCCAAACUUUUAAGGAAUAACAGCUUAGGUUUCUCUAAACCAUAGUUCAUACGGUGUCAUCUCAUCGGAAUUACGUGGUGCCCUAUUUAAAGCGAAUGUGGUUGUCUUUAAUGCCUAACCCAUAAACUAUCGUGGUAAUUCAAUAAGAGACAUCAUGGUAUGCAUCAUAUCCAAUAGGGUGCAGUUAUGAUGUUCGGACACACCAUCACACUACGGUGUUCCAGGCUGUAUUAGUUGUGAAACAAUUUCCACAAUGUCUUAAUUCUGUGCCAAACUCGUAAUUCAGAUAUUCAUCUCUAUGAUCAUAUCAUAGAUCUUUUAUCCUCUUGUCACGACGAUCUUUCAACUUCACCCUAAAAUUACUUGAACCUUUCAAUAAUUUAGACUCGUGAUUCAUCAAGUAAAUGUACUCAACAUCUACUCAAACCAUCUGUGAAGUAAGAACAUAACGAUGUCCACUACACGCCUCAGCACUCAUUGGACUGCACACAUCAAAAUGUAUUACUUCCAACAAGUUGCUUUCUAGUUCCAUUUUACUAAAAAACGAGGCUUUCAGUCAUCUUGCCCAUGUGGUAUGAUUUGCAUGUCUCAAGUGAUUCAAAAUCAAGUGAGUUCAAACGGUCCAUUUGCAUGGAAUUUCUUCAUGCAUAUACACCAAUAGACAUGGUUCGCAUGUCUCAAACUUUUCAAAAACGAGUGAGCCCAAAGAUCCAUCAACAUGGAGCUUCUUCAUGCGUUUUAUACCGAUAUGACUUACGUGGCAGUGCCACAAGUAGGUGGUACUAUCAUUACUAUCUUAUAUCUUUUGGCAUGAACAUGUGUAUCGCUACGAUCGAGAUUCAAUAAACCAUUCAUUUUAGGCGUAAGACCAUUGAAGGUAUUAUUCAAAUAAACAGAGUAACGAUUAUUCUCCUUAAAUGAAUAACCGUAUUGUGAUAGGCAUAAUCCAAUCAUGUCUAUGCUCAACGCAAACACCAAAUAACCAUUAUUUAGGUUUAACACCAAUCUCGAUGGUAGAGGGAGCGUGCGAUGCUUGAUCAUAUCAACAUUGGAAACACUUCCAACACAUAUCGUCAGCUCACCUUUAGCUAGUCUCCGUUUAUUGCGUAGCUCUUAUUUCGAGUUACUAACACUUAGCAACUGAACCGGUAUCUAAUACCCUGGUGCUACUAGGAGUACUAGUAAAGUACACAUUAACACAACGUAUAUCCAAUAUACUUCUAUCGACUUUGCCAGCCUUCUCAUCUACCAAGUAUCUAGGGUAAUUCUGCUCCAGUGGCUGUUCCUCUUAUUACAGAAGCACUUAGUCUCGGGUUUGGGUUCAACCUUGGGUCUCUUCACUAGAGCAGCAGAUGAAUUGCCGUUUCAUGAAGUAUCCCUUUGUUCCCUUGCCCUUCUUGAAACUAGUGGUUUCACCAACCAUCAACAAUUGAUGCUCCUUCUUGAUUUCUACUUUCGCGGUGUCAAACAUCGCGAAUAUCUCAAGGAUCAUCAUAUAUGUCCCUGAGAUAUCAUAGUUCAUCACGAAGCUCUAGCAGCUUGGUGGUAAUGACUUCGGAGAACCAUCACUAUUUCAUCUGGAAGAUCAACUCCCACUCGAUUCAAGCGAUUGUUGUACUCAGACAAUCUGAGCACAAGCACAACAAUUGAGUUUUUCUCCUUAGUUUGCAGGCUAAGAAAAUCGUCGGAGGUCUCAUACCUCUUGACGUGGGCACGAGCCUGAAAUCCCAAUUUCAGCCCUCGAAACAUCUCAUAUGUUUCGUGAUGUUUCAAAACGUCUUCGGUGCCUCAACUCUAAACCGUUUAACUGAACUAUCACGUAGUUAUCAAAAUGUGUAUGUCAGAUGUUCGCAACAUCCACAUACAACGUUUGAGGUUCAGCACACUGAGCGGUGCAUUAAGGACAUAAGCCUUCUAUGAAGAAAUGAGGACAAUCCUCAGUUUAUGGACCUAGUCCGCAUAAUUGCUACUAUCAACUUUCAACUAAAUUUUCUCUAGGAACAUAUCUAAACAGUAGAACUGAAGCGCGAGCUACGACAUAAUUUGCGAAGACCUUUUGACUAUGUUCAGGAUAAUUAAGUUCAUCUUAUGAACUCCCACUCAGACAGACAUCCCUCUAGUCAUCUAAGUGAUUACAUGAUCCGAGUCAACUAGGCCGUGUCCGAUCAUCACGUGAGACGGACUAGUCAACAUCGGUGAACAUCUUCAUGUUGAUCGUAUCUUCUAUACGACUCAUGCUCGACCUUUCGGUCUUCUGUUUUCUGAGGCCAUGUCUAUACACAUGCUAGGCUCGUCAAGUCAACCUAAGUGUUUGCAUGUGUAAAUCUGUCUUACACCCGUUGUAUGUGAACGUUUGGAUCAAACACCCGAUCAACACGUGGUGCAUUGAAACAACGAAUUGUCGCAACGGUGCACAAUUAGGGGGAACACUUUCUUGAAAUUUUUAAUGAGGGAUCAUCUUAUUUACUACCGUCGUUCUAAGUAAACAAGAUGUAUAAACAUGAUAAACAUCACAUGCAAUCAAAUAAUAGUGACAUGAUAUGGCCAAUAUCAUAUAGCUCCUUUGAUCUCCAUCUUGGGGCUCCAUGAUCAUCUUGUCACCAGCAUGACACCAUGAUCUCCAUCAUCAUGAUCUCCAUCAUCGUGUCUCCAUGAAGUUGUCACGUCAUCUAUUACUUCUACUACUACAGCUAACGGUUAGCAAUAAAGUAAAGUAAUUACAUGACGUUUAUGUUGACACGCAGGUCAUAAAUAAAUUAAGACAACUCCUAUGGCUCCUGCCGGUUGUCAUACUCAUCGACAUGCAAGGGUUUCUAGCAAGAACGUUUCUUACCUACGCAAAAACCACAACGUGAUAUGCCAAUUGCUAUUUACCCUUCAUAAGGACCCUUUUCAUCGAAUCCGAUCCGACUAAAGUGGGAGAGACAGACACCCGCUAGCCACCUUAUGCAACUAGUGCAUGUCAGUCGGUGGAACCAGUCUCACGUAAGAGUAUGUGUAAGGUCGGUCCGGACCGCUUCAUCCCACAAUGCCACCGAAUCAACAUUGGACUAGUAACGGCAAGCAUAUUGAACAAAAUCAACGCCCACAACUACUUUGUGUUCUACUCGUGCAUAGAAACUACGCAUAGACCUAGCUCAUGAUGCCACUGUUGGGGAACGUAGCAUAAAUUCAAAAUUUUCCUACGUGUCACCAAGAUCUAUCUAUGGAGUCAUCUAGCAACGAGGGAGGAGUGAAUCUACAUACCCUUGUAGAUCGCGCGCGGAAGCAUUCAAGAGAACGGGGUUGAUGGAGUCGUACUCGUCGUGAUCCAAAUCACCGAUGAUCCUAGCGCCGAACGGACGGCACCUCCGCGUUCAACACACGUACGGAGCAGCAACGUCUCCUCCUUCUUGAUCCAGCAAGGGGGGAGGAGAGGUUGAUGGAGAUCCAGCAGCACGACGGCGUGGUGGAAGUAGCGGGAUUCCAACAGGGCUUCGCCAAGCGCUGCGGGAGGAGGGAGAUGUGUCAUGGGAGGGAGAGGGAGGCGCCAGGCCUUAGGUUAGGUUGCCCUCCCUUCCCCCCACUAUAUAUAGGGCCAAGGGAGAGGGGGAGGGCGCAGCCUUGCCCCUUCCUCCAAGGAAGGGUGCGGCCAAGGGGGGGAGGAGUCCAUCCUCCCCAAGGCACCUCGGAGGUGCCUUCCCCCUUUAGGACUCUCCCUUUUUCCUCUACUCUUGGCGCAUGGGCCUCUUGGGGCUGGUGCCCUUGGCCCAUAUAGGCCAAGGCGCACCCCCUACAGCCCAUGUGGCCCCCCGGGGCAGGUAGUCCCACCCGGUGGACCCCCGGGACCCUUCCGGUGGUCCCGGUACAAUAUCGGUGACCCCGAAACUUGUCCCGAUGGCCGAAAUAGCACUUCCUAUAUAUAAUUCUUUACCUCCGGACCAUUCCGGAACUCCUCGUGAUGUCCGGGAUCUCAUCCGGGACUCUGAACAACUUUCGGGUUACCGCAUACUAAUAUCUCUAUAACCCUAGCGUCACCGAACCUUAAGUGUGUAGACCCUGCGGGUUCGGGAGACAUGCAGACAUGACCGAGAUGACUCUCCGGUCAAUAACCAACAGCGGGAUCUGGAUACCCAUGUUGGCUCCCACAUGUUCCACGAUGAUCUCAUCGGAUGAACCACGAUGUCAAGGACUUAAUCAAUCCCGUAUACAAUUCCCUUUGUCUAGCGGUAUGAUACUUGCCCGAGAUUCGAUCAUCGGUAUCCCGAUACCUUGUUCAAUCUCGUUACCGGCAAGUCUCUUUACUCGUUUCGUAACACAUCAUCCCGUGAUCAACUCCUUGAUCACAUUGUGCACAUUAUGAUGAUGUCCUACCGAGUGGGCCCAGAGAUACCUCUCCGUUUACACGGAGUGACAAAUCCCAGUCUCGAUUCGUGCCAACCCAACAGACACUUUCGGAGAUACCUGUAGUGUACCUUUAUAGCCACCCAGUUACGUUGUGACGUUUGGCACACCCAAAGCACUCCUACGGUAUACGGGAGUUGCACAAUCUCAUGGUCUAAGGAAAUGAUACUUGACAUUAGAAAAGCUUUAGCAUACGAACUACAUGAUCUUGUGCUAGGCUUAGGAUUGGGUCUUUGUCCAUCACAUCAUUCUCCUAAUGAUGUGAUCCCGUUAUCAAUGACAUCCAAUGUCCAUGGUCAGGAAACCGUAACCAUCUAUUGAUCAACGAGCUAGUCAACUAGAGGCUUACUAGGGACAUGGUGUUGUCUAUGUAUCCACACAUGUAUCUGAGUUUCCUAUCAAUACAAUUCUAGCAUGGAUAAUAAACGAUUAUCAUGAACAAGGAAAUAUAAUAAUAACUAAUUUAUUAUUGCCUCUAGGGCAUAUUUCCAACAGGCCUCUCCUCCUCCCUCGCACGGCACGGCCCCGUCGCCAUCGACGCCUGUAGUCCAGGCCCUUAUGCCCGCGGGCGCCCAGCACGCGCCUCCCCCUUUGCGCCCGCGCGCGCCCAGCACGCGCCUCCCCCUUUGUGCCCGCCGCCUACGCCGGCUCUCGCCGUUGCUAGCGCCGCUCGCCGUCCGCCUCUGCUAGUCCCUGCGGCCGUCACCGCGCCUGCCACCGCGCCCGCCCCCUGCAGCGCCAGCCGGUCGCGCUGCAUCGCGCGCCCGUUCAUGCUCGUGCCAUGCUCCUCUGCCUGCGCGCUCGGUUGCUGCGUGCUGCCAUUGCUGCUGCAGAGCCCACCCGCUCGUCCCUCCGUUGCCGGCGCGGAAAUUCCGACAAGAUCCCAUGCCAUCGCCGUCGUACCUGUGGAUGCCGGCACGUAGCGCUUCGAACCGGCCUCUGUGCCGCUGGCUAGCAGGCCCUGGUCAUUAGAUUAGGGCGCUAACCCACUAAUUACCACUAACAUGAACACUUAGUGGCACUAACAGAUGGGCCUAGGGUCUUUAAACACUAACAAAAGGAAUACCCUAAACGGUCACUGACAGUGGGGCCCCACCCCCUGAGAAUGUUAAAAUAAUAAUAAUAAUAAUAAUAAUAAUAAUGAAGAUUUAAAAUAAAGAUAAUAAUUAAAUUAAUUAAUUAGUCAAAUGAAUUAAUUAACUUAAUUAAUCAUGUUAAUUAAACUGAGACAAUGACAAAUGGGCCCCGUGUGCCAGGGUUGACCUAGUCAACUUGCUGACAUCAUGCUGAUGUCACGCAGACACAAUAAUUGCAUUUUCUAAUUAAUUUAAAUCUUUUAAUUCCAAAAUUGAUUUUAAUCCUUUUAAAAUUAAUAUAAAAUAAACCAUAGCUCAGAUGGAAAAACUUUGUACAUGAAAGUUGCUCAGAACGACGAGACGAACCCGGAUACGCAGCCGGUUCAUCCGCCACGCAUCCCUAGCAUAGCAAACACGCAACUUCCCCCUUCGGUUCAUUUGUCCGAAAACGCAAAACACCGGGAAUACUUUCCGGAUGUUUUCCCCCUUCACCGGUACCACCUCGUACCGCGUUAGGGCACACCUAGCAUCACGCUUUGUCAUGUCAUGCAUCGUCAUGCAUUUGUUUGCAUUAUAUUUAUUGUUUCUUCCCCCUCUUCUCUCGCUAGACACCGAGACCGACGCCGCUGCUACCCAGUACGAUUACGGUGUUGACGACCCCUCUCUCUUGCCAGAGCAACCAGGCAAGCCCCCCCCCCUUGAUCACCAGAUAUCGCCUACUCUACUCUCUAUACUGCUUGCAUUAGAGUAGUGUAGCAUGUUACUGCUUCCAGUUAAUCCUAUCCUGAUGCAUAGCCUGUCCUUGCUACUACUGUUGUUACCUUUACCUGCAAUCCUAAUGCUUAGUAUAGGAUGCUAGUUUACCAUCGGUGGCCCUACAUUCUUGUCUGUCUGCCAUGCUAUACUAUCAGGCCGUGAUCACUUGGGAGGUGGUCACGGGUAUAUACUUAUACAUAAUAUAUUAUACUUGUGGUGAUUAAAGUCGGGUCGGCUCGUAGGAGUACCCGCGAGUGAUUCCGAUGUUGGGGGCUGAAGGGGCAGGUGGCUCCAUCCCGGUAGAGGUGGGCCUGAUUUCCCGCAGGCCCCCGACUAUUACUUUGUGGCGGAGCGACAGGGCAGGUUGAGACCACCUAGGAGAGAGGUGGGCCUGGCCCUGGUCGGCGUCCGUGGUUAUUUCAGAAUAACACGCUUAACGAGAUCUUGGUAUUUGAUCUGAGUCUGUCUACUGGCCUAUACGCACUAACCAUCUACGCGGGGACAGUUAUGGGCACUCGACAUCGUGGUAUCAGCCGAAGCUUCGUGACGUCAGCGACUGAGCGGCGCGCGCAGGGUUGGACCGCGUAACGUAACUUCCUUUGUAAUGGAGGUUGCUAGGUCUGCUCUCCGGCCGCGUAUGCAACGUGCAGGUGUGCAAUGGGCGAUGGGCCCAGACCCCUGCGCCAUAGGAUUUAGACCGGCGUGCUGACCUCUCUGUUGUGCCUAGGUAGGGCUGCGACGUGUUGAUCUUCCGAGGUCGGGCAUGACCCAGGAAAGUGUGUCCGGCCAAAUGGGAUCGAGCGUGUUGGGUUAUAUGGUGCACCCCUGCAGGGAAGUUGAUCUAUUCGAAUAGUUGUGUCCUUCGGUAAAAGGACGACCCGGAGUUGUACCUUGACCUUAUGACAACUAGAACCGGAUACUUAAUAAAACACACCCUUCCAAGUGCCAGAUACAACCGGUGAUCGCUCUCUCACAGGGCGACGAGGGGAGGAUCAUCGGUUAGGAUUAUACUAUGCGAUGUUACUUGGUGAACUUACCAUCUACUCUCUUCUCCCGCUGCAAGAUGGAGGUUACGAGAAGUGUAGUAUUUGAAAGGACUAGCUAUCCCCCUCUUAUUCCGGCAUUCUGCAGUUCAGUCCACAUAUGAUAGCCUUAUUCCAGUUGAUACCAAUGCAUACAUAUGUAGUGUAGCUCCUUGCUUGCGAGUACUUUGGAUGAGUACUCACGGUUGCUUUGCUCCCUCCUUUCUCCCUUUCUAUACCUAAUUGCUGCGACCAGGCGUUGGAGUCCAGGAGCCAGACGCCACCGUUGAUGACGACUACUACUACUCGGGAGGUGCCUACUACUACGUGCAGCCCGCUGACGACGACCAGGAGUAGUUUAGGAGGAUCCCAGGCAGGAGGCAUGCGCCUCUUUCGAUCUGUAUCCCAGUUUGUGCUAGCCUUCUUAAAGCAAACUUGUUUAACUUAUGUCUGUACUCAAAUAUUGUUGCUUCCGCUGACUCGUCUAUGAUCGAGCUCUUGUAUUCGAGCCCUCGAGACCCCUGGCUUGUAAUAUGAUGUUUGUAUGACUUUUUUUAUUUGUAGAGUUGUGUUGUGAUAUCUUCCCGUGAGUCCUUGAUCUUGAUCGUACACGUUUGCAUGUAUGAUUAGUGUACGAUUGAAUCGGGGGCGUCACAGUUCCAAUCUCGAUUUGUUCUUGUCCGGUACCCUGCUCAGACCUGGUCGAAAGAUCAAAUGUGAGAGAUCAUAACUUGUUGUUUCAUCUUGCACAAUAUGAUCAUUGAGAGCGAACAGGAAGAGCUAGUGUUUAACACUGAACCAUACUACAGGCUGGGUCCUCCUGCCGAAGUUGAUCACCAGCUACCGGCAACCUGGACUGCCUACCUCAAUAUGCGUCAGGAGAUCCGAGACCCACAGGUGCAUCAACAACUGGAGUAGGAUCUGGUGGAGCAUCUAUGGAGGCUCAAGGGCGAUGCCUAGCUCGACGUGUGAUGAAAUAUGAGUUUUUAUUUGUUGAACUAUAUAAUCUGUAUUGAACUAUUUGAUUUCUAUUGAUUUUCUAUGAGAAACUAUGUGAUAAAAAAUUACUUACGUUGAGAAUUCACGCCGAACCACAUCGAAUAUGGGCCGAUUCGUGCCGAUAUCAGGCCAUUUUUUGCCAAAAGGCGGCCACAUUUACACCAAAAAUGGGCCGAUAUUGGCGCCUGGGGGCGGCGGUUGGGUGCCCAACCACCCCAGCGCUGAUUAUACCGCCGGCUCGCCCCCAGGCGGCGAUUUUUAUGCCUCCUGGGGGGGGGGCAACGGCUGAAGAUGCUCUUAGCUGGCCACUUUUUUAGAAAUAACUUGUUACUAGAGAUAAGAAUAAGACAGAAUCCAUUGUACAUCAUAUUUUUCUGUCAUCUCUAGAUUACGUGGCUGGAUUAAGAUAGAAGUGUCUUAUCAACCAUUGUACAUGCCCACCAAAGACAAUAAACAGAAAGCCCAUGUCGGAGUCAUUUUGAUGCAAUGUGUAUAAAAGCUAUUCAAGGAUAAAUAACAAUGUAAACGUCGAACAUAACCCAUGAGUGUGGAGAACCCUAGUACUUUGGGGCCUAACCCAUGUGUGUGGGCAGGGCAGGGCCCCAAAAAUCAAGGGGCCCCCAAACGUUGCCUCUGUGUGUCACCUGAAGGCUGCUGAAGCACUCAUUUUCAUCUUCUUGGGCCUGGUCCGCUCGAGGCCUCAAGCCAUACCCUGCGUGGAUCGAUCUGAGCGAUCAUAUCAUAAACGAAACGGCAGCCAGCGCAGUACGUGUACGUACGUUCCGUGACUUCCGCUGUUCCCUAUUCCGUAAUGGCUUCGCUUUCCAUCUCAUCCCUGCGAUCGAUCUUUUUGCUUCAGCGGCUCGACGGCGAUCGCUUUGCAGCCAGCAGAUGGGCGGAAGCAAAACUGCACUGGACUUGCCAGCGUCGGCCGCCGCCGCGCCGGCCGACACUGAUGCGGUGCCGCCGAACAGAAGACCAAGCAGUGCCCUAAGCUCCUCCUGUUCUUUUCAUCUAAUUUUGAUACAAACUGCAAAGUUUUAUUAAGAUUACACUAAAUAUGUUUUGGAACAAUUUUUGUCUAGUUGUUGAAGUGCAGAAAUUGUCAUAGUAGAUUCAAGAUUUUCAACGGUUGCUCGUCCCGUGGUCCAUGUCCAAAAUCAAGGUUCUAUCUGAUUCUUAUUAUUCAAGUCACAAGCCUAUAAUUCAUGUGCGUUCAUCAGUAUGCUUUAUUUUUUUUGUUCGUAAACAGAAACAAUCAUGCCUUCUAGUUCUAGAAGAAAGUAUGAUUUUGUGCCUUAAAGCGUAAGAAGAAACAGUUGUGAAAAUUUGCAUUGCUACUUGAGAAUUUUUCAAAAAUUGUACUAAAUAACAUAAGUUUAAAUUGUAUAAUUAAGUGCUUAUCUUGAGUUAUAUUAUAUGAUUUCUUUCAAAUGUUAGGGCCUCAUUUUACUUUUCGCACCGGGGCCCCAAAUUUCUGAAAACGGCCCUGUGUGGGGGGAACCCUACUACCCUAGUACUUUGGGAUAAGUAGAUCGAAUACGGUACCAAAAUCUAGAUUGGUUAAGAGCGCACAAAAGCCUGUUCUAGAAAGCAGGAUGACAGCAUUAUUCAUAUGAACAAAUACAUAGAAUGCAGGUGAAAGGGGGCAAAUUGUAAGGCGGUUCUAUAGAAACCAAGACAUGAUCCGAAUGUGAACAAAGUUCAACAGGGGGGUGAUCUCACAAGCCAUUGAACACUGUUAUUUUAUUGCUGAUUAGUGAGUGGUUGGCGAAGAAAAGUCAGAACUAGUGCACACACAAAAAAAGGCACAUCUCAGAACUGUAAUUCACGUGCCAACUCGGAAACUAUCUUUCCCGUGAUGCAGAGGCAAAUCCACUAAAGUAUCAUCAGUGGCAACAAUUCAGCAAGCAGCAACUCAUAGCAAUGCAGCAUAAACAACAUUUAUGCAUAGCAGGCAUGCUGGUCCUCUACUGAACCACCCAGUCUGAAGAUUGGUCCUCUACUGAGCAUUAGCAUUGUAACAUCUUAGGUUUCCCCCUGUUUUUCAGACGGCAGGACGAGUUCCUUGCCUGGCACAAUUCAUAUCAUACAGUUAUAGGUAUUACUGAACUCAGGGACGGCAACCUGAAGAAAUACAUACCGAUUUGAAGGGCAUAAAUGCAGCUGCUCCAGCUGACAUUUAUUUACCACAUCAAAGGUGUGAUCAGCUUCCGGUACACCACCAAAUUUAGCUUUCAAAACAGCGGUUGCAGACAGAACGGAAACAUUUAUUUGUUAUUCAAGAGACCCUACUUCUCAAUAAUUGAUGAGGGAUUACAGCUUACUCCUGAUAGAGGCUCCCAUCCAAUGUGAUCAAUGGAGGUGAAAUGAACUGCGAACGGAGCUUACCAACAACACUAGGAACAUAUGCCAUCUACAUAUCAAGUUAUUAGAAUGCAGAAAAUGUCUAGGAAAAAAGAACUUUACAGCUUGCACAUGAAAUGGUCUUGGAAGAAUCCACUAAAAGAAAUCAAAUUCAAGAUAAUUGUCUGGACCUUUCUCGGCUGACGGUGUUGCCUUCUGACUUGUCGAGGCUCCUGGCCGAGGGAUUUCAACUGGCUUGGGGAUAUCUGGAGGAGUAGCGCACCUUAUCAAUGCCCAGUUAACACCUUCAAAGAAUGGGUGCUGCUUUAUUUCUGUGGCUCCACGUUUGUACGCCAAUCGAUGCUGUGGCUCCUUGAUCAGCAACCCCCUUAUGAGAUCCCUUGCAGCAAAACCCACAACAGGUGAUUCUGGGAACCUGAGGGGCUGGCCAACAACAUUGAAUAGCGUUGCCCUGUUCCCUGAACCUUUGAAUGGAGUCUUGCCGAAAAGAAGUUCAUACAAGAAUAUGCCAAAAGUCCACCAGUCCACAGCACUCCCAUGCCCCUCACCCUUUAUGAUCUCAGGUGCCAAGUAUUCAUGAGUGCCAACGAAUGACAUAGACCUUGCAUCUGUGGGCUCUGCAACAAGCUCAGGGAGCGGUCUGACCUGGGUUGCCAUGUCUGCCUUUGCCUUCUUUUCCUUCUUCUCCCUCUUGGACUUGGAGGAGAAAAAGCGAGGAGAGAAGCAUGUGGUUGUCGUAACGCAAGCAGGCUGGAUACAGGCUGGCUCAAUGCACACCGGUUGUACACAAUAAGCUUGAUUGCCCUUUUGGUUAGGAUCUACACCAGGGUUGGAAGAUUUAAGAAGUGUAGGGCUCACAUCACAACGAAGGGACAAAUCAAAAUCUGACAGCAUGAUGUGGCCAUCUUCUCUCACAAGAACAUUCUCUGGCUUGAGGUCCCGAUAUAUGAUACCGAGCAUGUGCAGGUAUUCUAGAGCAAGAAGCACCUCUGCUACAUAAAACCUGUACAAAUAUUUUAAAGAUAAACAUGAGUUUGUACACUUAACACUGUUUGUUAGUACCUAAAACCAUCACAUGAUAAAGAAUGUUAUGUAAUUGCUGAACAUGUAGCGCGCCAAGCCUGUGCGCCAGGAAAUGUACCAUAGGCACAAGGUUGAGCUAGAGAUCAGGGUGCAAGUGGGACGGGUUGCGGGCAGCCCGCAUCCCGCGCUCUAACCCGCGAGCGCCCACACGGGAGACACGGGUCGUCGUAUGCGGGAUAGGCAGGCCGCCGUGGCGCCGCCAGCCCGCCAUCUAUACGCACGUACGCAUGUGUGCGCACUGAUAUGCAUGUAGUAUCAAAGUUUCUCACCGACUGAUACGAGCUGAUAUUUCUAUCUUCCGACUGCACGUAUUGCACGAGGAGGUCCUUCAGGUCAAGGCCAACGUUCAACGGGAAUAGCCAGCUCGACUGCGGUCACGGGAAUAAUGACGCAUGCGUAUAAAUAUACAUGGACACGGGCAAAUUGCAGGCACCGCCAGGACAUACGCAUAAACCCGCUUGACUUUUGCGUACAGCCGCGGGAGCCCACUUAUGAUGUGUUUAGCGGGGCUGCGUCGCGGGAUUGGCGGGCAGCCCGCGCCGCUUGCACCCUUAGCUAGAGAUAUGCCUUUUAUCUCUACUUUAGUUGCCACCUUUCAAUUAGCGAUUCGGUUGGUUAGUUCCAUAUUGUUUGUAUUUUUUGGGAUCUUUGAUCAGCUUCUCCCUAUAUCUAAUGGACUUGCCCAUGAGGAAUAGAUCAACCAAUCAAGAGCACUACAAUGAAUCAUCCCGGUCUUAAUCUCUCCUAUCCCUAGAAGCCACACUGUCCCUAACCUACUGGAAGUAGUUAAUCCGGCAUGAAAACAAGGCAACAUAUGUUAAGUAUCAAGAAUAGCACGAAAUGCGACAUAACUGUUUUCGUAAACAAAUGAUCGGAUAAAAUAAAUCCAGCUAUAUCAAGAAAAAUUAGGAGAUAAACUAUCAAAAGAGUCAUUUCAAGAAAGAGAAACAAGUUCCUUUUAAACCAUCCAUCUGUCUAACAGCAGAUAAUAGUGAAAAAUAGAGAGGAAAUGCAUUAAUCAUAAGAAACUCAACACUAACCACAAACAAUAUUAAUAAAAACCGCUGCAUACAGAAGUGGGGGAAAGGGAAACUCGCAGAAGACAUGAGUACAUGUGCAGUUGUAGUUCAAAAAGUGUUGAAAGUACACUACAUAGUACUCCCUCCGUCCCAUAAUGUAAGACGUUUUUUGACACUACAUUAGAGUCGAAAAACGUCUUACAUUAUGGGACAGAGGGAGUACAUCUCAGACAUAAUAAGGAACAACAACAAGAAAGCAUGAUGUCAAUAGGGCAGAAGGACAGAUUGUAACUUUGCAUAAAUCCUAAAAUACAAUUAAGAUUUGUAAUUGAGCAUGCAAUGUUGCCCUAGACCCUAGUUAGUACCUUGAAAGAUGAAUAGUGUAACUGAAUUAGGCAUCAGAUACACAUAUACAUAAGUGAAGAACGUACAAAACACAAUGGGUAUUACUACGCUGCAACAUUUUAUGUGGGUACAGAAAGUAACUCCCCAAACAGUAGGAAAAAUGAACACAAACAAUAUAAAAUACUGUAUAGAAAAAUAAAAAUGUUACAGACAUGCUGAAGGUAUUUUUUUCAUAUGCCUUUAUUCAGACAGUUGAUACGGCUUAACCAUUUAAAAUAUGCAGUUAUGUCCACUCCAAAGCAAGCUUCAUUAAAAUAGACUGAUAAAAGAAACAAAAAGUAUAUUCCACAGUACAGAAAACACUAGUCUCUCAUGAACAACGCACCCAACUGAAGAACGUUUCACUUAAGACUUCAAGUACAUUGCCAUAAAAAAAGUAAAUCUAUAUCACAUUACCUUAUCACAUUAUAUGUACCUCAAGGCCUAUGUUACCACAUACUCCCUCAGUUCCUGAGAACAAGGCAUACAUACUUUUUGCCAAAAAAUUCCUAGCCUAUAAUACCCUCGUUUAAUCACUACUUUUGCUGAACGGAUCACUUAGAUCACGGCUACAUUAAUUGCAUGCAGUUACAGCUCCUUUCAAGAUUGGCUCCACUAUUACCUCGCUCCUCGCGUCCAAAGAAUCGUUCCCGAACCCACAAGAGAGUAAUUUUCCAGGGGUAAGUUGGGAAGCUAAUUUUGACUGUGGGCUCUCCUUGGGGUGGGCGCUGAGAAAUUUACGCCCAACUCAUAGGAACGUAGGGAGUAUUGGACAUGGAUGUGUGGUCGGAUUAUUUAUAUAGAUUAGGGAUUCCAAAUCAAUGAUAGAGGUAGCUACAAAGCAUUUAUUUUAGCAUUACAACUUGUAGUGUUCGAGAGCAAAUAUACCCAGUUCAGAAGACAAAAGCCUAGUGUUAAUCAUAGUUUGGUUGACUACUCAGAUAAUGCAAGCACGGGAUAGGAGCUGAUAAAGGAGAAAUCACUACACAGUAAUCAAUGUUGUAUUUAACAGGUAAGAUCCCAGGAGUCUAAGUACCUCAAGUAAAAGAAGUGGCAUUUACAGAAGCUCGUCCAUUAGAGGCGCUCCAGAUAAUUUGGAGCAUUACUGCCACUUCUAGUGCUAACAAGCCUACUACCAACGACAAAUAAUACGUGCCUACAGAUUUUGUGAUCCCUAAGAUUUUAGAUAUAUGAAAUCGCUCUGAAAAUUAUGUUCUUCUAAAUCCAAAAUGAACCCAGCAACAGCAGCAAUUAAAAUUUCCAACAUUGCUUGCUAACAGUAAUAGAUAAGUUCCCUAGUUAAAGAAAAAUAUAGUUGUUAACCAUAGAGGCCAAAAAAAACACAAUACUGUUAAACCUAAUAAAAUACAAGAGGACCAUACAUUCCAUGAAAUUGAAAUCAACAAUUGAACAAUAAGAUAAAAGAUAUAAUUUGUCACCACAUCUUGAAAGUUGAAAGAUCUUCAAUUUAUUGUACUGACCCAGUUGUAUUAGUAGACAACUAGAUGAUUUAUAAGAACGGAUAAGGAUUGGUUGAUAAUGAGUGUGAUAACAUUUGCAUAUCUAUCAGUACAAUAAGUAAAUAAAUAAAUAAAGAGAGAGAAGACUCUUACUUGGCAGCUUGUUCGGGGAAAUACUUCCCAGGCUGUUUCUGCCUUAGGGUAUGCAGGUCCCCUCCAGGGCAAAACUCCAUCACCAAGCAUGAGAAUUUAUCAGUCUCAAAGUGGGUGUACAAAGUCGGAAGGAAAGGAUGGUCCAAGCACUGCAAUAUCUCCCUUUCAGUCUGGGCUCUCAGAAGCUUUUUGCGGCCAGCUAGAGACGCCUUGUCCAUGAUCUUCAUAGCAAAGUAGCAUUUCGUGCCACUAAGCUCUGACAAGUAAACACUGCCAAUGUCACCACAGCCAAGCCUCUUAAGCAGCCUGAAGUGACUCAAUCCUAGCGAACCUUCUUUGGUUCGGAUCACCUGAAUCGCCUCCCACCUUGAAUCAUUGGACUUGUGAGGCUUGCUAGCGCUGCUGCAUAUACUGCUACAGGUGCUAUCAUCACUGACAUCGCUGCCAGCGCUGGCCCGGUAAACGCUGCUCUUCCCGCUCUGGACCAAAUCGGCGUGGCCGCUGACCUUGGUGCUGCCGCUCGCCUUUGUCAGGCUGCUUGCACCGUCGCUGUACUUGGCAGAAACGGAGCUAUCCUUGACGCUCCCUCGCAGCGAGCUCUUCUCCGCAUCUUCGUCUUCGUCCAGUUUCACAGAGCCGUCAACAGAACUGCAGUCUUUAUCUUGUUCUUUCACUCCACUGGACGUGGCCACAUCACCUGGGGGAACUGCUCUCGGUGAGGCAGGCCCCGAUUUGCCUGCUCCCCCAAUUAGCUCCUCGGACUGCCUCCGAGAAGGCGCCGCCUCGGACGACUCGGCGGCGCUUUUACUGCAUUGCUUGUCAUCGACUAUCUCAGCAACGGCCUUGGACGCCAUCGCAACAGGGAGCCGACCAAGAAGCCCCUAACGGCGCCGCCAUGACCCUCCUCCCAUCGCCGCGGCGGUCGACCGAUCAAUCAGCGGCCGGAGCGGUGAAAUCGAGACCUAUCAUCACAAGGGUUCGCCCCGAAUUAGAUUCAGCGAAAGCGAUGCGGGUCAGCCGCCUAGCGAAACCGACGACGAAUCGGGAACCAAUAAUUGCCGAAUUAUUAGCCGGAUGGAUCUGGCCGAGAUCGAGAGGAUCCCCUCCUCGCGGGGGGGAGUCGGGCGGGGGGUGGGAGUGGGGAGGGUGGAGUCUGCUUACUGGUCAGCCGUCGCGCCGUGGGAGCUCGCCGCCAGCGGGGCUGGGGAGGGGAUCGAGGGGGGGGCGCUUCCUUCGGCUUCGGGGGAGGUGGCUGGCAGCGGAGGGGGGAGGACUGUGUGCCUGGCCCACUUGCCGGGCUUGAGUGAAAGUGAAGACUUUCCCCCUUCCGUUUACUGGAUCUGUGACACUUUUCAUCGUAAAAUAUUUAUACACUUCCUUGCCGCAUAAAUAUUUUUUCACUCUUUCGGAGAUGCUCACACAGACACACAUACCCAUUAUAAAAACACAUACGCGCACCAUAUCUUCGUGAGCAUCUCAAGAUACUGACCCGGCAUAUCAUGUUAAAAGUUAACAAAGUCAUAAUAUAGUCGAUGGGAAUGUCUCCUCCCAUCAAACGAAUAUCGCCGACGAAAGGACAUUUCCCUCUCUAAGUGAUUUUGAAGUAGAUGACAACGCAAUUUGUGGUCUAAUCGUGUGCUUGAGCAACACAGGUAUAUUUGAAAGUGGCGCAAGACAGUUAGAUACCCCUCUAAAAGGAAAAGAGCAAAGACAGUGUUUCGACAAUUUCAUUUCACCAAGACAACACCAACAUUAGAACGAGCGCAGCAGUCAACACUACCGCAAAGAGCCACCCCCUCCCUGAGUCGAAUCUUACUCCAAGACAAUGACUUCAAGAGGGAGCGCGACAUUGAGUGUCAUCCUAAAAGACUUAAAUCAAGGGUUUGCGUUGAAGCAAAAUGGGAGGGGCAACAAAAAUAGACCUCCAUAAUGCAUUUAGGAAGGCAGCGACACCCAAGGGCGUCACAGUCACUAACAUCGACCAAAGUCGAGCCAGACUUCAGCCGACAGCCUCACCAUCCCACACCCAAGACCGACUGAUCCACCUAAAGCACCCGUAAAUUGACCACCCGUCAUCUACAGACCUAACAAGCCCAAUCUAAAGGCAGAGGAGCCACGGCAGAUCGGCCACCACCAAUCCGGGUCAGAUAAGCCACCACCGAUACAGGGCUAAGUCAGGGCGUGAGGAGGGCCGGAGGCUAGCAACAAUAACUCCCAAGGAGUCGCGUUGCGCCACCUCGCACAAAUUCGUCGUCGUCGAGGGUCGAAGCCGAACCAAACAGAAGAGGGAGAGCAAGGUGACCGCAUGACAACACCCACGGUGCAAGGCGCGUCGGCGUUGCCGACGAAGUCCUCACCACCGAGUAGCACAUCUCAGGAAGGUGACCAAUGACGAGAGCUCGAGUUGUUCAAAUCUUCAAGAAAAAGCUUGAUGGGCACCGCCAUCGCUGUCCUUCGUACUAGAUUUGCUCGGUUGUGUCACUCGAUGGUAACAAGGAAGGAAGGAGGGACAACGUGGCUAAGGGUUUGCUACCAGAGCCGCCGUGGAGGCGACGCGGGAGUUGAAGUGGAAAGUAUGGAGUUAUGCAUGUAAGGUUAUGAUCUAUACGUAUCUAUACAUGUCUUUUUCAAUCGGACAUGGAGUAUUUGCUCUCGAGCUCAAAUGCUCCCUGGAGAACAGUAAAAUAUAAAAAAAUCAAAAAAAAUUUAUGGUAAACUUUGACAAAUGUUUUGUAUGCUUGCAAGUUUCAGCACGAAAUGAUAUUCGCGGAAGUCAUCGCAAAAAAGCAAAAUCGAUGUUCCAAAAAUGCUAGUUUUGAAAACAUUUUACAGUGCUGAUUUUGUUUUGUUUGUCACGCGUUACACGAAUGUCAUUUCGUGCUGAAAUUUUGUAAGAAUACAAAACACUUGUCAAAGUUACCACAAAAAAUUAGAAUUUUUAAAAAGUUAAAUAUAUUUUUUAUUUUACUGUUCAUCAAGGAGCAUUUGAGCUCGGGUGCAGAAUAGGACUUCCGUUUUCAAUUCCAAGAUUCUAGCGCGGGAGGGUGGCGCGAUCUCAGUAUAGACUAUGGUAAUAAUUAUGUUAGAUUAUGUACUAUCAAAAGUUGCUCGAUGUGUUUUUUGUGGUAGUAAAGUUACUCAAAGCUAUAAACAUUAUACUUAACAUCAUCUUAUGCGAGGAAGAUAUCAAAGUAGUUAGCUAGGAAACAUCCACGGCGGAGAAAGAUGGGUGAUAAAACAUAUUGUUACGCAAGUGGUAUAUUUAUUAAAUUAAUUAUUUUGUCACGGGUGCAGCAACAGCGCAUCACAAUCAACCAUGACUUGCAACUUACAAGGUCACAAGUUGCAUGCUUAGGCUCCCGAAUUAUUUGUACCAGCAUUCAUUCAACAGUGUUUGCUGCAUGCCCAAGCAGCCGCCCUCUUGAAUUAAUGGUCAUCCAUUCACACGUUGAAAGCAAUGUAUAUCCUACUCCCUGUGCACUCAGAAAGUAAGCAUUGGCAAGCCCCCUUAAAGAACAAACCUUACACGGUUGUUGAGCUCUUUAUAUUGGAUAUGAAUCCCUUGUAGUACUCAUGGACAAAUGCAAUGGAAGCAACGUGUACCAUUUAUUAGGAUCACCCUUGCACAUCUAAAUAUCUCAACUGUCAAAUCAGCAUCCAAAAUGUUGAACGAAAAAUAACAUAGGUCAGGUCAAUGGACGUGACUAAGAUUUUAGUGGGAGGUUAUGUUCCAACCGAUAACGAGUUGUAUGUGAUGAUUUCAUCGAUCUUGAAAUUUCACAUAUAGUACACUUAUUACGUGUGUCCUUUAAAAAAAGAAAACUCCAGUCUUCAACAUAACAAUACAUAAGAUCAGGUGCUGGGAAGAAAGAGUUAUGCCAUGAUGAGAUCCUAACCUGUGGAGUUUUAGCAAUGUGGGGAAGAUCUGUAACUACUCCCGGUUGAAAAGUGGGCUCUUUUCGUCUUUGAUUCACUAGGUUGCACGUAUAAUAUUGGAAAUUUUUAAGUAAGGUUUUUUCUUAAUCCCUGAACUUGUAAGGAUAGUUUGAUUCAGUCGCUGUCCUUUUUAUAUUCAAUUAUACUUAAUUUAUUGUAGUUAAAUGGAAGCAACUCAUUAAGCACUUCCGAGCAUAUAGAGAAAAAAAUAAACAUAUAGUUUGAUCAUUCUAGAAAUUAGUCAAGCACUGGGCCCCUCCUAAUCAAAGAUCAUACAUACAUAUAGAUGCCAAACAAGAACCUUGUUGGAUUUAGAAGGAGUAUUAGCAUAGAAUGGGAAGGAUGUGAAAUCGGUACUCAGCUCACACAUGAGGAAAAGAAGCAGUGAAGAUAAAACUUCAACGUAACACAAUAGUAUCAGCUCCGACACAGGAGCUCUAAGAAAAUAAACCUUGAUUCUAUGUGCUUUGGAUCCAACUACUCGUCAUGGCCUUUGUGAAGAGUAGAUUUUCUCUGUUGGUAGAGUUGCACUUCUCCUAGCACCCAUCACUGACCAUGUAGCAUCACCACCUCUGUUGGAUUUAGAAGGAGUAUUAGCAUAGAAUGGGAAGGAUGUGAAAUCGGUACUCAGCUCACACAUGAGGAAAAGAAGCAGUGAAGAUAAAACUUCAACGUAACACAAUAGUAUCAGCUCCGACACAGGAGCUCCAAGAAAAUAAACCUUGAUUCUCUGUGCUUUGGAUCCAACUACCCGUCAUGGCCUUUGUGAAGAGUAGAUUUUCUCUGUUGGUAGAGUUGCACUUCUCCUAGCACCCAUCACUGACCAUGUAGCAUCACCACCUCUGAAACCACCAGGAAAUCAAAUCUCAACUCCAGAAGGAUGCUAAGGUACCAAGGAUGCAUGGAAUAAUUAUUAUGAAAAGUUACAUUGUACAUUCCACGGAGAUUUUGCUGUCAAAACCUAUGACACAAAAUUAGUUAUAUGUGCGUGUGUUAGGGUAUGCUUGUAUGGGUCAAGAACUUUGUAUUAUUUUGUGAUUUGAAUACAAGCAUACUUCCCCACAAAGAAAUAGUACCUCACAAACAAAGUAAGAUAAAAAUAAAGUUACUCAGGAAAAGGGCAUCUAACACAAAAUUAGAACCAGGGAAAAAAACUACAAAUCUGUACAUAACCCAAAAGUCACUCAGGAAAAAGGCCAAAGAAAGAUUUCACGUCCACUAUAAGAAAAGACAAAUGAACUAAUUUUUUUUUCUGAAAGUUCAUGUUGUUAUCAAUAAGAAGACCAAAUCAUGUUGUGGGUAACCAAAUUCAACCUCAUGCGUUCGGCACUCAGGAGCUAUGCAUUCCAAAAUUACGUUGAUGUAGCAGAAAUGAAUGUAUUAACAUGGGUUAGUAUGAUAAAUAAGUUGCCUUGCCUAGCAAAUAUAAACUAAGAACAUUACUCAUGUGCUUAGCAUAUAUAUAUUCUUUAAGCUUAACUUCUGAAUGUAUUAAACUUUAACUACCUCUUCACAAAACAAAUACACCGUGUUAAGAAAGUUGUGAAGACCUUGUACCUGCAAGUAUAUUAUCAAAUACUAGAAGAAAUAAUCAAGUUUGUUGGAUAUCCAAAAAGAAAAUGCCAAUCAAUAGAACAGCAAGUUGCUAUGUUAUCAAAAUAACAAGAAUGGGCUUGAAAGUUCAGAGGGGGUGUAAAACAACUUUUUUUCAAUGUUUCAGCAUUGAAACUGGCAAGGAUGAGCUUGCAAGUACAGAGAUGAAAUACUACUCAAAAUUAAAGACGAAUGUCCCUUGCAGAAGGAAUCCACGAUGACUUGAAAAAUGAGGAAUACACACAAAUUUUGUUGUUGAUGGUACCAGCAUGUUCAGAGUUUGUGACAGCGAUGUUGAUGGACUGCACAUUCGACUCCUCAUUGAGAUUUCUACAGCACUGAAUCUGAAUGGUUUGGUCACACAAAAACACAUUUUAGCAACAUAUUUUAGGGGUUGUUUGGAUAGGUGGUACAUAGAAAACGAAUUCUCUAUAAACCAGGAACAGAGGCUAAUAGAAUAAAAUCUCGUUUGGAUGCUCUAACUAAUUUGCGUUUUUGGAAUACUUGGUUUUCGGAAACCUCAAAUCUGCGUUUAUAGAAAAACGACUAUUAGUCGUUUUUGUAAAAGCUUGAUUUGCAUAUACUCCACCGCAACUAAUCGGCGUCCUCCAACCUGCCACGGCAUGGCCGACGCCGCGUCACAUCUCCGCUGCCUGAUAUGAUACUCCUCGCGAUUCGUCCUCCAGCCUCGGCUAUGGCCAUGAACGCAUCGACAUGCCGCUGUGUGGUAGGGAUGCUCCUCGAGUAGUCGUGCUCGUCCUCCGGCCACGACAUGGCCGUCGCUGCGUUUGCGCCCAGGAUUCCGCUAGCUCGCGGCCGGAGCUAGGAUGAUGUAUCGACGCCAUCGGUGAUGUGCGUCACCUGUGGCAUGUCACUGGCUGGUCGGUGUAUAUAGAGACCAAAUACGGGAUGGCGGCCAGGAGCGCCCCGACAGCGACGGCACCCUCGGCGAGCUCCUGAAACCGCAUGGUCAGCAAGGGCGCGCGCGAGCUCAUGCUGGACAAGGACGACUGCACCUCCCUCGAGUCUCUCGACAUGUAUGGGGUACAUGGCACGUAGAACACCGAGACCUGGAGUACUUCAGGCGAGUACCCAACGCCCGCGAUGGUCGUAUACGUACUUGACUAGUAUGAGCAGAAGUGAAGCACGUACUGGCGGCUGCGCGUGGAGUCGUCCAAGGUCAGUCCAAGGGAAGGCGAGUAAUGGCGUUGAGGGACCGAGGACCGAAAACAGAGGAGGAAUGGAUGUUGGAGCUUGCGUACCGUCUCCAAUGGCCAAGUCGAGGAAGCAAGAGAGAAAGAGAAAGUCACGGCAAGAGUAUUUUAUCGAGGGAAGGUCACGGGAGGAGUCAGGACUCAAGAGUAAGCCAAACAUAUUUUUAAAUAAACUGGUUUUACAUAAAAUAAUUUGUAAAACCGAUUUUGCUAAACAUCAGCUAAAAACACGUUCUGUAUAAUCCCAUGGCUAAUCUUUGUUAGCCAAACGACCACUUAGCACAACACUUAAAACUUGUAAAAAGGGUUGUAAGCAUGUCAUUCAAGAACCAAAAAAACAUUGGAAUUGGCAACCUAGAAAUAUGUGUUUAUCAAGAAUAGACUGUUAGAGCAAUUGUGUCUUCUUGAUUACUCAUUUAUAUUUGUAGUGAAAGAAGCUUGCGUGAGUAAACUGUAAAUAAGACAGAACAUUGAAAUUGUUCUUUCGAUCAUUAUACACGACAAACGACAUGAGUGUACUUGUACCAUUCUGAUUCUACCUCUAUUUGAACUUCAUAUGCUGCAAGAAUACGUCAGUUAUUGAAGUAUUGGUUUACCUGAGAACAAGCAGAUUUGUGAUCAUACUGCGGCAUGGCAGAAAUAAAAUUAGUUAAGAACGUCGCAUUGAUUUACCUCGCUGUUGUAACCACAAUCGGAAGCGCCCCCAACCACAUGAAUGCUUUCAAAUUGCAGUUUCUUGCUACCCAGCAGCAUGCCGUCACCCCAAUUCGCCUGAAACAAAAAUUCUGCCUCUUUUUUUGCAGUAAUUCAAAGAGCUUUAUUAAAUCAAGGUGUUCCCAAGACAGUCAGCCAACAGGCUAGUCACUAGGAAGCUAGGUGUCUCAUCGAGCCAGCACUCAGUCACAUUCAGCAUGCAAGCAUGCUUUGCACACAAAUGUGCCGGAACGUUUGCUGAUCGAUUUACAUGAAGUACAUCAAAUAACGAAAAAUCGCUAACUAGCUUUCCAAUUUCUAGUAAGAUAGGGGCCACAAUUGAACGAGAAUUGUGACGAUUACUCCACAAUUGCACCAUCUCUAGGCAAUCCAUCUCCAUGAUGACAUGCGCGAGUCACGCAUUGCCAAAGCUUCCGCGAAGAGUGGGUCAGAAAUACCCACAUGUGGUUUACACCAAGCUCCCAGGAAUGCAGUGCUCGAGCACGCGACACCACCCGCACCACUGCAAUUUUGAGCGAAGUUGAUUGCCCCAUCCGUCGUGAUCUUAACAGUACCCGCAUCCAGAGGCCUCCAUCCAUAACCUGGGAGUAUUUUGGUAUUACUCCGUGGCAAUUCCAGCAAUGCAAGCGACUCCUUGAUGGAGCGCAAGGAAGUAGCAGGAUCCAGGCCCUUUUGGUCAUGUUUUAACCUGUUGCGUGAGUGCCAAAUAGUCGACAUGAUGAUGAUAAUUUUAGCUCGGUCCAUCUCUGCCAUCAUAGGAUCACAUAAAAUGCCCCUCGCCCAAGAGCUAGAGUGUAGUCUGGGCAAUCGUAUAUCAAACCAAGCAUAUGCUUCUUCCCAAAAACUCUGCCUCUCAAAAGUGUAACCAGAGAUCACACAACUGAAAAUACACACACACACACACACACAACAUCCUAGAAUCACCAGCAAGCACAUGGAUCCAACCCAGGGGAUGGGGUGGAAAAGGACCUCGAGCGGGGAUGCCACCAGGGACGAACGUGUUAGAAACGAACUAGAGGAGCGCAUAAGGGAGGUUUCGGAUGCGGCAUGCACCCUGAGAAGCAGCGGCGACGGCUCCCCGCGUCCUCGCCGGAUGAGGUGGCUCACACAUCUCCGACACACGAGCGAUGGGAUCAGGAGAAUUUUUUUCGAGCGGGAUCAGGAGAGCGAUGGGAUCGGGAGCAAGGAGGUUAGGGUGAGAGCCGUGGCCUCUGAACGGUGGAGAUGUUCUAGAUCUCCGUCUUUCGUGCUUAGUACUCUGGAAGAAGAGGCCUGCUGUAGCCGGCAAAGGUUCGCGGAGAGAGCAGCCUCGCCGGGAAAUCUGGUGCAGCGCCUGUUUUAAAGACGGCACCAACACGAGACGUGGAUUUAGAUCGAGGUAUGAGAGAUUACAUUUCUCCUCCCGAGUACAACUUUCAUGCAGAACAGGGCCCGUCAUUAACUUCGGCUUGCAAGUAGAAAUUUUAAGUGUACCAUAUUAAGUUUCAGAGGAUUCACAAAGAAACCGGUUCAGCUCUCAACCGGAGUAUGUUUUCAGAAUACCGGAAACAUCACCGUUGGCGUUAGAACUGACUUCCAUUAAAUCAGAAAACUGAUGCAUGCAUUUUUUUUUCAGCAACUACUUUCUUUCUCCCUGCUAUAAUAAUCUCACUCAGAGAUAGAAAGGAAUUUUGUUUUGAACAGAUUGAUGAACUUAUCAGUGUUGAGAGUAAAAAUCUGAAUUCAGGAUGACUCUAGCUCUAAUUUCAGUUUAAAAGACUGAAAUUGCUGCCGUUAUAUGAGGAAUGUUACGAUAGGCCAAUCACUAACAUCACAUUCACGCAAGGAGUAAAAUCCAACUUUAUCACAAGAACUCACAAGCAUAAGAUUCUCCCUGGCGGGCAGAUAAUUUAAAAGCUCAGACAAUAACCAUUGUACCAUGAUAGCAUGCGAUCUACUUCAACAAAGUCUUGCAUAACAAACACAGGGUGGGUAUCAUAAUUCAAAACUGUAGCCAAAUUCUACUACCAAACACGAUUGCAUAGAGGGGACUUCAACUGAUCAGAAUUCAGCAGGAACAGUUCCGGCAACCUGGUCCAGAUCACGCCUUCCCUGGGAGGUGAUGAGCCU